CCUCCUCCAUAUGCAAGAAAAUUUUGUUGCGACGACUCCGAAUAUUAUCUUGAAUUUCCUGCAGCUCCAUUGUGGCAAAAUCCUGCACUGUUUCAGGCCCCUCUAUGAUACAAAAUAUGCACCAUUAAGCAUGUAAAAACUAAAAAUUACAGGCUACAAAGCAAUUUCCGUAUAGUUGUUGGGUUAAAUAACAUCAACAGCAAAUAAAUCACAUGGGUUUUUCACAUAAAGUUACAAACUUUCAAGGACUAAUAAGCUGUCUGCAAUCUCAUAAAUUUCACAGUGCAAAGUAACAAUCCAAAGCUUGGAACUUUAAAUUUCCACCUUCUGUUAAUUUCCUAGAGAGAAGAGAGGGGGGGGGGGAAGUACCCGGCGGGGUUUGUAUCAGCGGCGGGAUUGGGAUCAGAAUCGACAGACGGAGCGAAAGAGGAGGAGUCGGGUUCCGAAGCCAUGGCAAGGGAUCGCCAUCUGGAGCUGCUUGUUGAUAUGGGGCUUCUGGGUAGCUGAAUUUGGAGCAGCCGGCGCUAUGCAGUUUGUACGGACGGCACCGAUUUACGGGGAAAGAAACGGCCAAAAGUCUGCCGGAGCAGAGCAUCUCUGUCUCUCUCUCUCAAACCAGAAGGUAGAGCUUUCUGUUUCUCUUGAGGUUUCUUUCACUGGUAAAUUCCAGAGAAGCAGAGAAGAAGGCUCUCUGAGAAAUGGCGAUGGUGCAAGUGGAGACAAAACAAAUGUAAAUCUUGAAGCACUGAACAUCUGCAGAACACUUGUCAACUGCCGAACUCUAGGAUUAGGAGAGAGACAGUGAGCGACCGGCCAAAAAAACAAAAUGGAGGUAAGUGGCUAAUUCUUCUCUCAUUUUUUUUUCCUUGUUUUUCAGGAAAAAAAAAAGACAGAGAGAGAUUUUUAGUGGACCUGGCGUCGAUAGAUUCGAGUAGUAUGUCACAUUUAAAAUUUGAGCAAAUUGUAACUAUAGUACUUUAAUUUUAAUUUAAUUGGAGGAAUGAUCCAUCAACUAAAAAUUCAUUACCAUUGAUCAUUUAAUUAAAAAUCUAUUACCGUUGGUCCCUCAACUUUAAUUCAACUAGAGAAAUGAUCUUUUAACUUUAACCCAAUUGUAGCAAUGGUCAUUCCAACAUAACUCGUUUUGACAAAAUUUUUGAUGUAGUUGACGAAAAUGACCAUAAUUACAUACUUUGAUAAGUUGAGGAACUCUAAUUGUAUAAAUGGUCAUUUCAACAUAAUUUAUUUUGACAAAAUUUUGACGAAAUUGAUGAAAAGGACUAUAGCUACACAUUUUGAUAAGUUGAGGGACCAAUAGUAAUUGAUUUUUAGUUGAAGGACCAUUGCUAUAAUUUACUCUUAAAAUUUUAUUAUAGGAUGACAAACGUCGAAAAUAAAAGGUUAAGUGCAGUGAUCGUCUUUGAGGUUUUGGAGGUUCUGUGUGGUCAAAUACUUUGUUCUCCCUAAAAUUGCCACUAUUGAGACGAUUACUUGCCUCAUACAAACAUUUUACGUUUACUUAGAACUAGAAAGACAAGAAUUGCAUGUGAUGAAUUGCUCUAAUCAUGGGGUUUAUUUUUUAACUCAUUGUGUUUUAAAUUUAAACUUUUUUCCCUCUCUUUGAUAUACUUAUAAAGUGUGAAAUUAAUAAUUUUAAUGAGUGACUCAAUUAACUAUUUUCAUUUCUUACGCGUUCAAAAUUACACAAAUUUGUUGCAUACAAUUUUUUAAAAAGAAAAUUUCUAUUAUUAUGGAGAAAGUUCGGUACAUUAUGGAAGGAGGAAUUUUGAACUCGAAACACAUGGUAGAAACCUAACGCCCAUCCACUAGGAUAUUAGAAACCCAACGCAUAUCCACUAGGAUAUUAGACCACCAGAGCUGGUCCUGAGAUAUUUGGUGCCUGUGUCAAAAUGUGUCUUUUUCCAGUACAACAACAGAAAUUGAAAAGAAAUAUUUAAAGAGGGCUGGAACCCAGUCGAAGCUGGGGGCUAGGCCCUCACACCCAUGUUAUAUUACUCGAAAAAAAAAAAAUAUACAACGGGAUGGAACAUAGUACCGAAACCCCGACAAUAAAAAACAAAAUCACAUACAACCACUCCAAGCAGUCAACAUGACCAUUACAUAUUGAAUCCAAAAGGUUGACGCCUAUUCUCUGCAUAUAAUGCACAGAAGAUAACAAGAUUACUAAUAUAAAAAGAACAUCUGAAAAGAUGAACAUAUGCAUCAACAUAUAAGUUAACCAUUCUAAGUGCAAAUUUAGAAGUGAUAUGCUCCAAGUAUAAUAUUGGACAGAAGAGCGGCAGCAUCAACCAGUUCUGCUAUAUCCGGCUGGAUGAGAGCUGCUAAAGACAUGAUUGUUCCCUAAUAACAUGAAUAAAUUGAGUAAACACCAAAAGUAGCAGCAAGGGAAGGAGAUGUUAAGAAGAUGAAGAGGUGUAACACCUGUGAAUGUCCAACAACAAAGACUUUGGUGCUUGUUGAAUAUAUGCAGCGCAUCAUUUCUGAUAGAUCAAAUCGAGCCAAUUCCUGCCAACUCCAAUCCUAAAAAUCCUACAGUAAAGCAUAAAUCUUAUUCUCUUCUGAUAAAGAUGUGUGUCCCUGUCUCCAACGUGUUUGACGCACAUUCCCUACCCAUACAUCGAAACCUUCAUCUGCAAGGACAAAUCCCAGUUAUUCUUCUGGAGAAUUUAAGAACCAUGAAUCACCUGGUCAAGAUCAAGAAAAGCCAGUAACCAAUUACAAUUGAGUUUGAAGCACAUAAGAGCCUAAUUUAAAAUGUAUCCCAUGGAUGUUCAUCAAUUUACACAAUAGUUAGUUUCAAGAAAGGAAAUUUCAACAGAACCUGAAAACUUCAGAUCAGGGGGCACCAAAUAGUGAGCUAUACAUUCAAAAUUUGAAAUAAUCAACUUAGUGGGACCAAUAUGUUGAAAAAAUUGGAAGGAGCUAUGAAAGUAAGGCUUUUCACUAAUCAGACGUCCAGAGAAUCAAUAUUUUACUCACGGAUCAGUUACGGGGAACACUCCCCACCAAAGCAAUCUCUUUCGUCUGAAUCUGGAAAACAAGCAGCAGUGGAUUUUAACAGUCUGGGUAUCUCAAAGUUACUUUAAUCAUAAAUUUAACACUAAAACAUAUAAAUGGGCAUUAUUUAGUGAAAUAUUAGUAUAGUACUCACUGUGUGCUCGGAACAAGAGUACCCAGAAAGCUCAAUGAGCUGCGCACAGAGGACUACAGCGGUGAACGACAGCGACCGAUUCUGUAAAAUUCAGUCAAGUUUUGGGUGAUUUCUGCAGUUAUUUCGGAGGUCAAGAGGCUGAUAGGGAAAGCUGCGACCGAAGGGCACUGGUCUGGAAGCAAAGGCUCAGGUCACCGCUGUCCCGAUUCGCGAAGGAAGUGCCCCAAAAACAAUUUCGGCCCUGGACAGGUGCACUGUUUGCACUGGACCAGGGCCGGCCGGCCCUGGCAAUAACGUCCCCCAAACAGUACAUAUACAGAUGCUAGAAAUAUAUUAAUGUAACCUGAAACUACUAGAACCAUUCAAUUCUAGCGUCUACAGCUAUAGCAUUAGUUGGUACAAUGGACAUUCUUCCAAAGAGGGGGAUGAACUCGUUGAGGCUCUUAUUUAUUCCUCCUCUUGUUGUGCCCUUUUCAGCUGCUAAUUCCAGACGAUCCAAUCUCAUACAUCUUCCCUGCAAAAGCAUGCGUGCCAGACUUCAAGAUCAAAUUUUUCCAACAAAAGAAACUUAAAGAUCAAACUCGCUAGCAGAUUAAAUGGUGCACAAGGGUGUUAAAAUCUUGACAUAGUAUAUUUUUGGCAGAUUUUAUGUGAGCAUGCAACUAAAACUGGCAUCACUAUCAAUGGUGCAAAAAGAUUGGUGGAAAACUUUAACAGUUUGAGUUGUAACUUCUCCAUUGUAUUUGUUAAGGCAAGACGGAUGUCAUCUAUGCAUUUUUCUGUAAAACUUAAAAGGCUGCAUAGCAGCUCUUGUUCGUACGACAAGCAAUUGAAAAUCCCAUCAUUAUGCCCCGCAUAUACCAGAAAAAAAAAGUCAUUUACACAAAUUCAGAGCGUUCAUCCACUGUAAUUUGCAGAUAUAGAAACGUUAAGAUAAAAGGAAAUGCAAAGUUAGCAACGGGAAUUGACAUACCAAUAUCUUCACAGUUUCUGCACAAGCACAAAUCAAAAGAAUCCGGCGGUGGAGUUAUGUACCUCUCCUUGGAAAAUGCCACCUCUUGGGAUUUCAAAAUAUGCGGCCGUGGCUAGCCGUCUGACCACGCCAAUUCCACCAAAGCCGCCGCAACGCGGCGCAGUGUCCGAUUGAUUGCUUCAAAACAGAGCUUCGUAUCCAUGUGUUUAUCAGCACAGAGUACCCAAAACCCCUGAAAAUUAUUUCUUUAUUCAGAUAAUAAAAUUUCCCAAAUUUCAAAUUUUAAUUCCGAACCAAAAAUAGGAUUUGAAUUUUGAUUACCUAGAAAUUGGGGGGUUGGCGAUAUGCGUCCUCGAGAGGGUACCAAUACAAAUUACAGAGCGUGUUGGGACGAUGUACAAGGCUUUUGCAGUCUCUCAGAUGUAAAUACCGAAGCUCCGUAAGGCGUUCAAUCCAGGGGGAAAGCUCUUUGAUAGAUGUUCCAUCCAAGACAAGAUUUCUUAAUCCUUCCAUAUUUUCUUCAAUGCUUGGAAACACCUCGAAUUUUGUACAACCGGAAAGAGAGAGAUAGACAAGGGACUUGAGCUGACAAAUGCUACUUGGAAGACUCUUAAGCUCCUUGCAAUUUUCUAGCUUCAAAUGAUUCAAUCCCGUGAGAUUAUUAAUUGACGAGGGCAUUUCUUUAAUUUUUGAUCCGGAUAAAUGAAGAACUUUUAACCCUUCAAUCACUUUUAAAAUCUCUGGAAACAUCUCAAGACUCUGACAAUCAUAAAGUACAAAGGUUUCGAGAGAUUUCAUAUGAAUGUUGCUUGGAAGACUCUUAAGUUUUUGGCAAUCUGAUAGGUUCAAAUGAAUCAACCCCGUGAAAUUAUUAAUUGACAUGGGCAGUUGUUUAAUUUUUGACCCGGAUAAAUUAAGCUCUUCUAACCCCUCAAUACCAUCUGAAAUCAAUGGAAACAUCUCAAGACUGGAGCAGCCACAAACAUUAAAGGUUUUCAGACAUUUCAAAUGAAUGCAACUUGGAAGACUCUCAAGUUCCUUGCAAUCUUUUAGGUUGAAAUGACUCAACCCCGUGAGAUUAUUAAUUGACUCGGGCAGUUCUUUAAUUUUGGACUCGGAUAAAUUAAGCUCUUCUAACUCCUCCAUACCUUCUGAAAUCUCUGGAAACAUCUCAAAAUUGGAGCAGCCAAAAAGAUUAAAGGUUUUGAGAGAUCUCAUACGAAUUUUAUUGGGUAGAAUCUUAAGUUCCUUGCAAUAUGAUAGGUUCAAAUGACUCAACCCCGUGAGAUUAUUAAUUGACUCAGGCAGUUCUUUAAUUUUGGACUCGGAUAAAUUAAGCUCUUGUAACUCCUCCAUACCUUCUGAAAUCUCUGGAAACAUCUCAAGACUGGAGCAUCCAUAAAGAUUAAAGGUUUUCAGACAUUUCAUAUGAAUGCAGCUUGGAAGACUCUUAAGUUCCUUGCAAUCUCUUAGGUUUAAAUGAAUCAACCCCGUGAGAUUAUUAAUUGACUCGGACAGUUCUUUAAUUUUGGACUUGGAUAAAUUAAGCUCUUGUAACUCCUCCAUACCUUCUGAAAUCUCUGGAAACAUCUCAAGGCUCACGCAGCCAAAAAGAUCAAGAGUUUUGAGAGAUUGCAUACGAAUUUUGCAGGGUAGAAUCUUAAGUUUUUCGCACCCUUUCAGAUCCAAUAAAACAAGUUUUGUAAGAUUCGAAAUAGAUGGGUGAACCUUAACUAACCCUCCACAACCAUGAAGAAUUAGCCUCUCAAGAUUUGGCACAUUUGUGAAGUCAGGGGUUUCCUUAAGGUAUGAACAAUAACUUAAAUUGAUGAAUUUCAACUUUUCCUGCGUCUGUUAAAACAUUCAGGAAAACAUGCAUUACUUAAUAAGACAUCUCACUCAAAGCCCAAACAUUUAAAAGAAACAAAUACAUGUAAAUGAUUGCACAUACCUGGGUUCCUUCCCAAAGUCGGUCAAUGUGGCUAUAUUGCAUGUCAAGUCCAACAAGAUUUUCGAAUUGAAAGUUGGAUGGCAAAGACUUGAGCGGGAAACAAGACCAGGAAAGAAACCUCAACUCACUAGAAACAAACUUUAAGGACCCAGUCAGGUGUUGUAUGCUGAAAGUACCGAUCUUGAGAAGUCUUAGUUUAGUCAUCCUAUCAAAAGCUUUAACAAUUAAGCAUCCCUCAUAUGAGUGCCCCAAAUCUAGGAUUAUGCUUUUAACUGUUUCUGUACCCUGUGCAAAUCAAAGGGAAGGAAAAAGCAGAGAACCUUAGUUUAGAUUAUGAAGUUAAUGGUUGUUUCUUAAGGAGUUGUUUGAUAAUAAUUUUGUUUUCACUUUUCACUUUUGUUUUGAUUAUUUAUUUAGAAAUCUGAAAAUUGAAAACAUAUAACUUGUUUGUAAUUGUUUUCAAUUUUCAAUUAUUAAAAAAAUGAAAAUUAAAAAUUAAAAAUGGAAACAAAAGUGGUUAUCAAACGAGCUUAAGAAAUUGAUUUUGGUCAAAAGUUGAAGCUUUCUACUAAACAUUGCAUAAGAAGAGAAAUUAUCACCGUAUUUUUAGUUAUCACAUGAAGAACAUCUUCAUAACUCCACAACCUACUUCGUUUCCCAGGCUCUUCGAUAGAUUCUUGCUGGACGAUUUUCCGACCCAUUUCCUCUAGUAAAUCAUGCAUCUCCAGUUCCCCCUUCCAUGAGACAGUUACUAGAGCUCGAUCGAUUAAAACUUUUAUUCCAAUAUCAGGAUAGGAACCACAGCUGUGCAGAACUUCGGUUGCAUAGUCUUUUCUCAUUCCUUUAAAGAAACAUGCAAUAUCUAGAAAGAUAUCCUUCUCCGUGUCAUCUAGUCCAUCGAAGCUUGUUUUAAGCACAUCAUGAAUUCCCUUUUGCGGGAUUUUCUUUAUUUUUUCUAACUCAUUUUCCCACUGGCGUACAUUUUUGUUAUCAAGAAAAGCUCCCAAGACUUUGAGUGCUAAAGGCAGACCUUGAGCAUAUUUUACAGCACGCCUCGAGAGAUCAUCAUAAUCUCUGUUGGGUUGGUUUUUUCUAAAGGCGUACCGCCUAAAGAGUUCCAGAGCUCCAUUAUCACUUAAAAUCUUGGGAUUAUAUAUCUCAUCAGCUAUGCUUAGUAAUUGCGAAUCUCUGGUUGUUAUAAUAAUUCUGCUUCCACCACCAAAGGAAUGUGGUUCUUUAAGUAAAGCUUCAAUUUGUUCUAAUUCUUCCACAUCAUCAACAACAAUAAGAACUUUUCUCCGACCUAGGCUAUUUAACACCACCUGGAAACCUUUAUUCGAAACGUCGGAACUCCCCACCUUGUUGUUCGAGAUACUCGAUAGAAGUUCUGCCUGCAUAUAUAGUUUGCCAUGCUUUAUGAAACCUUCCUUGAAAUUUUCAAGAAAGCAACAAGCUUUAAAUCCACCAGAGAUUUCAUCAUAAACAGCUCUAGCGAUGGUUGUUUUGCCUAAACCACCCAUACCCCAUAUUCCAACAAUGCGAACAUCAUUAGUUUCAACUCCAGGAGGAUACAAUAAUGAAUGCAUGUUAUGCAUAUGAGAGUCCAUUUCAACCAAGCCAUUAUCUUUGCUUGAUGAUGAUGAGAUGUGGAUCAAUUUCUUAAAAACAUCUUCUACAAUUUUCUCAAUAAGCUCUGCAUCAUCCCUGUCAAAUUUAAAAAACAAUAUAAUAACACCACCAAAUAAUACUUAAUGGGUCUUUUUCAUCUGUUAGUUUAAAAAAAAUAGAAAUUAAAACUAAAACUAAAAUCUAAACGUUAUAAAAAUCCCAAAAAUUAAUAGGAAACUAAAACAAAUUAGAAUUUACUCAUAUUUCGCGAAUCCCAGCCGGAUAAACUGGUGGCAAUUGUAAGAGCGGAUCUCCAGCUCUGAACCUCUUCCAUUUCAGCGUUAGAAUCACGAUCGUGCUGAGCAAAAGCUUCCUCGAAUUUUCUCUUGAGUUUACGAACGUCAGACGGAUCAACUUCAUAGAAAAUGGGGAGUACAAUCUGGUUAUUGGUAUCCUUGCAUUUCAAGAUUUGCACGAGUUCUUUCAAGCACCAAGUGGAAGAAGCAUAGUCUUGAGAGAAAACUACAAUCGAAAGCCUUGACUCUCGAAUCGCUGUCAGGAGCUCAGAAAGGUGGUCGCCUUUUCUGAGCUUCUCGGCAUCAAUGAAGGCGUUGAUUGGUUUCUUAACCAGAGCGUUGUAGAGAUGGCUGACGAAGCCCCUGCGAGUGUCUUCCCCUCUGAAAUUGAUGAACACAUCGUAUUUGCAACCAAGGCCAGAAGAAGAUGAAGAAGAAGAAGCAGCCAUUAUUAAUCGAUCGCACCUGGUCAGCGACGAUCGAGCAGCUAAGACUAAGAGAAUUGUAAGUACAGAGAUACUCAAUAGAUCUACAAAUUGGAUCACCGGAAAUUAGUCUGAUCGAUACCAAGUCAAUGAGUCAAUGCAAAAGUAAAAAGGGGAAAGGGAAAUUAUGCUUUAUGUUUUUUCACAUCUUCUUCGGGGAAAUUUCGGUGUGAAAGGAAUCUUAUCCUUUUGAUUUUUUAACCGAAGCAAAUGCGAAGAAAAGGGUCAAAGUGGUAAAUUGAAUAUACACUUGCCUAUCCAACAACCUCUUAAUUUAAUAUAUUUAAUUGAGAAAAGUAGUUUAGAGGAAGAGGUAUUCAUCAAUUCCCCAUAAACUUGUGACCAUUGGCCAAUUUUCCCCCUCAACUUUAAUUUUGGCCAAUUUCUUCCCUAAACUCUCAUAAUUAGUUAAUUUCCCCCAUCAACUUUAAUUUGGUCAAUUUCCCCCCUCAACUCUCAUAAUUAGUCAAUUUGCACCCUACUGUUAAUUUUUUAUUUAUUUUUCAUCUAUUCUUUUUUUUUUCUUUCAAUCUUUCUAAUAACUUCCAACAAAAUACUAAAAUUAAUAUAAACUCACCUGCAUAAUAUAGGGUAAAAUGUACAAAAACAUAAUACCAUUAGUAUGUGAUAUGGGUUGAUUAUAAGAAAAAGUUAUGAAUCGGGUUUAAAUCAUGUAGAAGAAGAAACAAUAAUCCUAAACUCAUGGAUCAGACCUAUUUCAAUAAAAUGGGUUAUUCUUAAUAAGGAGUCGAAAAUUAUGAAUUGACUAGCCAUUUUUGCACUAAACCUCGAUUCUCCGCAAUUUACUUGAACUUAGCUUUCACUUUUAUAAAGAAAAUUGUAUUCACAUACAAAAAUGUACACAUCAAUCCUUUUCGUUAUCAAUUUUGUAUAGUAAAAAAUCAAAUAAAAUUACUCCAUACUAAUUUAUUAUGACUAAUAAUACUAUUUAUGAUAAAUUGUAAAAUUCUAAAUUUUAAUCUAUUUGUAAUAGGAUAAAGACAUAGGAAAAUGAUUAACAUACAUCUUAUUUAGUUUCUUACACACACUUGUUUAAUUAUGAUCAAAUUAAAAAAUUAACAGUAGGGUGCAAAUUGACUAAUUAUAAGAGUUGAGGGGGGAAAUUGGCCAAAUUAAAGUUGAGGGGGGAAAUUGACUAAUUAUGAGAGUUGAGGGGGGAAAUUGGCCAAAAUUAAAGUUGAGGGGGGAAUUGGCCAAUAGUCACAAGUUCAUGGGGGAAAUUGAUGAAUACCUCUUAGAGGAAUGAUGGUAUCUCUUUUUCUUCUCACUCAAUCUUCCAGCAUGCGAUUUAAUCAUGAUUAAAGCCAAGCUUAAUAAUAGGUCGUAUUAUUUAGGUCGUUUUGGAUUAUAAGUUUUUGUUGUGAACUUGUGAUACGAUAGUUAGAAAAUUAAAAAAAUUAUAAUUUAAAUAUAUGUGGUGAAAUCUGUUAAGAUUUAGAUUCAAAAUUGAAAAUUUCAUUAACUUCAUUAAUUAUUAGCACACGAAGCUUACAAAUGAAAUAAAAAUAAUAAAAUUAGUCUCACAUGUAAUCUCUAUGCGCUAACAAUUAAUAGAGAGAUUCAUUUUAACCUAAAAUGUGUGACUUACGUACUAAUAAUUAACAAAAUAUUGACAAAAUUUUCAAUUUUAAGCAUAAAUCUUAAUAAACUUCAUCUCAUAAACUUAAAUCCUAAUUCAACAAUCUUCUCAUUACCUUACCACUGCAAACUACCUUGCCACUACAAAAAUUAUUAAUCAAAUUAAACUUAUUAUUUACUUACAAAUACGUAACUCAAUCACCGAAAGCUAUCUCCGUUGCUAUCUCCGUUUCUUUGCUGAGUGGACAGCUGUCUCUUUGUCUUCUUUUGGCAGAUAGCUACUAGACUCCUAGUGGCCGGCCUAUUUUCCACAGCUGGUUAUAGGACUCAGUUGCUAUUCAAGAAGUGUUAUGUUGUAAUUCAAUAUUGAUGGAAAUCCAACAGAAUCUUCUUCGAAUUGUUGUGAGCAUUUUGGGAUAUUUUUUAAUCAUAUUCAUUUAUCGUUGUGGGAUCAAUUUUAUUAAAUAUUAUUUAUGUUUAAUUUUAAAUAAAUAAAUUUAAAAUAAAUUUUUAUCGCACGAUAUACUAUGAACGAAUACGAUUCAUAGAUCUCCAAUAUCUUCACAAGAAGAAUCCAAAAGGAUCCGGAUUCAAUGGAAAUAAGCUAAUUUUGAAUCAAAUAACAUUACUUUAUUUUGUAAGUAAAUUAAUUUUAAAUCAAACAACAUUCAUUUAUUAUGUAGCUAAUUAAUUUUGUAUGUGUCAUCAUAUAUAUUAGGCACAUUUUAUUAUAGGUGAUUUUGUGGUAUUCAUUUUCAUUUGUAAGUAAGAGGUCUUAAGUUCGAUUUUCAUCAAAAACGAAUUUAAACUAUAUUAUUGCUAGUCCAUUAUGAGGCCUAACCCACCCUCCUCCCCCUUAGUGUAGAUAGAUCGUUUGUUCAAAAAAAUAUAUAAUCAAAAUAGAAUGUGAAGCGAAACAAUAGAUCAACAUUAUUUAUGUUAAUUAUAAAUAGGUCAACCAUGUAUGUGAUACUUAAAUCAUUUAAAAUAAAAUAAAAAUUACAAAAUCUGCCAUUACAGCUGGCACACACUUUAAUUAACACUUUCUUUCUCAUAAUUUUUAUAUUUGGAAUAAGUCAUACGAAUCAAAUACUACAAUGUAUUAUCUGUUUUUUAAUUCUAUUUUUUACAUUUGGAUUCAGACACUGCGUUGUAGUGUCCAUUUACUGAUUUUGUUUUUUCCAUCACUCACAUGCCUCCUAUAUGUUCCUUUGUACAUUUGGAUUUAGACAAUGCAAUGCAGUGUCUGUUUCUUGGUUCUGGUUUUCUCUUUUGGAUUCAAACGCUGCAUUGCAAUGUAUGUUUCCUAGUCCUAUUUCUUUCAUCAUCCACACGUCUCCUACACUUCACACUUUCAUGCGACUCCUGAUUUUUACAUUUAGAUUCAGACAUUGUAAUGCAAUGUUCAUUUCCUACCUUUGAUUUUUACAUUUAAAUCUAGGGUUAAACUCUGUUUACUACCCUAAUGUUUCGUGGUUUUCUACAUUUAGUACAUCAAAUUUUUUUCAUCCCAGAGUCAUACCUAAAGUGUUAAUUUUGGGACAGUCUCAUACAUCCAUUAGUCAAACUGUUAGUUCUCACGUUAAGUGAUGAUGUGGCGCCCAUGUGGACAAUGACUGGGCCCCACGUGUCAUUAAAAAAUAUUAAAAUAAUUAAUUAUGUAACACCCGCCCCCACUUAUAAAAUUAUAUGUGUGUAAUAUUCCCUAAAUAUUCUGAAUCUAUCAAUUUUACCCUUUUUGGACUACCCUAUCAGGAUCUAAACAUUGGAUCCUUCUUUCUUUUCAAACUGCCACGUGGCAGCUCCCUAGCAAUUUCCCUGUCUUCUCUCUCUGUCCCCCCCCCGUGACUCCUUCUUUCUCUUCUUCUUUUUCUGUUUUCUUUUCUUUCUUCUGUCUGUCUCUCUGUCCCUCCCGACUCUAUCUCUUUCUCUCGUCUCUCUCUCAUAGCUCCCUCAUCUCUCUUCUCUGCAGCAACCCGCACGCACGCACCCAUCUCCCCCGCGCGAAGAAGACCCAUCUCCUUCUUCUCUCUCCCUCUGUCCCGUGCUGCGAGCCCAGAAACCGGAGAGGAACUCCGGCGAAACCUUUAUUUUCCCGGUUGGGACGAAUCGAAGCCGGGUGUAAGCACACCCAACUCCGGCGAUCCCGAGGGUGUCGGGGCUUUUUCCGGCCAUCUCCGAUCGUUCCACGACGAAAGGAAGGUGCAAUUAUUAACGGUGAUUCUGUUAUACCUUCUUGGUAUAGCUUUGCACCGUUGGUGUACGGUGAGUGGACCCCUUCAAAAUCAUGUUUUAACAAUAGAAAUGCAUACAUGAAAAGCAUGAUUUAAUACUUAUGUUUUACGAAGUACUUUAUGAGAUAUAUGCUUACUGAGGCUAGAUUGAAUUAUUACUAUUUUUCCUAUAACCCAUGUUCUUAUAGAAUAUCCGAUGGAUGACGAUAUGAUAUUAGAACAUGUUUAGAACACCUCUUUGUAGUAUAGAUGAUGGAUGACUUUAUACUACGAAGUUGUUUUUCAAUAUGUUAUGCUCAAUGGUUUUGUACUUACCUAGUGGUCCUUUCCGCUACGGGACGUAGGGAUAGAUUCCGGUCCGUCCCGAGCGACGGUUUGGUGUUGGCAUAGGGCCUGGAGUGUGUUUCCUCUGGCUAUUUAGCACAGGGACGGGGAGCCGGCAUGGGGUCUGUAGUGUAUUUUCCUCUGACUGUCUGCUCAGAGACGGGGAGCUGGCAUGGGGCCUGUAGAGUAUCGGACAAUUCACUAGUGUUUAUUACUUAUACAAGUUAUGAAUUUGAGAUAUUGCACGGCAUGCUAGGUUUCGGAAAAUCUAUUUUGAUCAUGAUAUAUGUGUUUUCAUUAAACCUGGGGGUUAGUAUGUUGAUAACUGUUUUAUUAUAUUUAUAUCAAACUGGUCCACUCAUGUUUGUUUUGCGCCCCCUUCAGGACCUACGAACGAGGAUUACGAUAUAAGCUACGAGGCUUUUCCCUAUCAGUGAUCCAGUGCUAUACUUCUUCUGCUUCGAUAUCUUUUGUAAUAUAGCACAUCUCUAUUUUAAAUUCUGUUUGUACUCUGUAAUAGAUGUAUGCUUUGACAUUAUGCGUGGAUCCUAAUGUUGUAAUUAGAAGUUGAAUUUGUAGUAUUAUUGUGGCUAGUCUUGCUGCCUGUUUUAGCUUAUUUGUGAGUUUUUACUUAAAUUAAUGGCUUUCGUCACCCUUUGGGUGUCGGCCAGCACGUGAUAAUCCCGAUGUCACGAGGACAUCGGGAUCGGGGCGUGUCAGAUUGGUAUCAGAGCAUGAUUCAUUCAGAGCAUACUUAGGAUUCUUUUCCACCAUUUGGUAAUUAUAAUUCCCCUUAUAUCCUUAAUUUUCUGUUGUUCUAAAUCUUUCUUGUUUCUUAUCAGAAUUAUGGAUCCCGCUGGUGGGCAUGUACCUCGUCGAGCUCGUUUUGGUAUAGGGGGAGGACUUGAGCAAUUGGCUAAUGUUUUGCGAACUGCCCUUACUGGUAGAUCAUCGAAUCGCACCUAUAUUGAGAUUGCUACCAGUCAUGGUAUUCCAGAGCUUAAGGUAGUGGGAGCCUGUCCGGAGGCUGAGGAAUGGUUAGAGCAGGUGGAAGAUACUCUGGAGGGUAUGAGAUGUCCACCAGGUGAGUGGGCGGAGACUGCUGGGUUUUUUCUUAAGGGUCCUGCAAAGAUUUGGUGGAAAGGAGUGAAGCAUUCUCGUCCACGAGGCACUUCGAUGACUUGGGUGGCAUUCCGGAAAGCUUUCAGUGCACAUUUUCUGAGUCCCAGUUAUCAGUUGAGGAUGAGACAACAAUUUCUGGAGUUUCGUCAAGGCGAUCUGAGUAUCACAGAGAUGGAUAAUACUUUUCGACGCCUGUCGAGACACCAUCCGGUGACUUAUGAUAACCCGAGUGAGAAGAUGGUUCAGUUGCUGGUUUGUUUGAACCCUGAUUAUCGUGAACGAGUGGCAGCUAUAAGGCACAGAAGUUAUGAGGAAAUGAUUGAGACUUGUUUGAGGAUUGAACAAUCUAGGUGGGAGACUCAGCACCAGGAGGAGCAGGCGCAGUAUCAGGAACCACCCAGAUAUCAGGAACAACCUCGGAACCAGAACCAGAGAGGUCAUGGUUUUAGAUCUCGGAGUGUGAGGAAAUCUGGUAGCUCUUCUAACUUUGUUGGCCCUAGACACUCUCAUUCCUUCAAACGUCAGGGUCAAGGUUCAGGUUCUUCCAGCGAGGGUUCGGGUAAUGAAUCAGGGAGGCGAUAUUUCAGUCAUUUUCGAUCGCAGGUUACGUGCCACAGGUGUGGAGGCAUGGGACAUAUUGCCAGAUUUUGCCCUUCAGGACAGCCUGCUGAGAGUUAUGCAUCGGUGCCGAGUUAUGGUGGAGGGAGUAAUCCGAGUUCUAGCUAUGGAGGUAAUUACACUCAGAGUUAUGGUGGAAGUGGAAGUGGAAGUCAGAAUACCCAAUUUUCCACUCAGAGACAGCCGCAACAGUUUGGUGCAGCUUCGAGUAGCCGCUCUCAGGGGAAUCGAGCAGGCCGUAAUAAUCAAGGUUUCAGAGCUCGUGGUAACCGUAACAGUGGUGGAGGACGUCAGUUUCAUGGACGUAUCAACGCCAUGACACAGCAGGAGGCUGAUCAGGAUCCUCAAGUCAUUACCGGUAUGUUACUUAUUUGUGGUAACUGGGCGAGGGUUCUAAUCGAUCCGAGUGCUACUUUUUCUUUUGUGUCUUCAUCUUUUGCACCGAAUUUAAAUGCACCACCUACACCUCUUGGUUAUGAUAUGCUUGUGCAAAUGCCGCAAGGGGAUCUGUUUUGUGCUCAGUGGGAGUAUAAAAGUUGCCCAGUGGUAGUGGAAGGGGAAAUGAUGGAGGCUAAUCUGGUCCCUUUUCAUUUGGCGGAGUUCGAUGUGAUUUUGGGGAUGGAUUGGCUAUCCAGGCACCGGGCCUAUGUCGCAUGUUGGGAGAAAUCUGUGACGUUCAAUCGACCUGGACGACCGUCAAUCACAUUUCAGGGUGAGCGACGAAUCCUUCCUAGUAGUAUUAUUUCCGCUAUUCAGGCUACUAGAUUGUUGAGUAGGGGAUGUGUGGGAUUCUUAGCUCAUGUAGUAACGAGGGAUAAAUCUUCGUUACGUCCUAAGGAUGUGCCAGUGGUGAAGCAUUACACCGAUGUUUUCCCGGAGGAUUUACCAGGGUUACCGCCUGCGAGGGAAAUUGAAUUUACCAUCGAUUUACUUCCAGGAACAGACCCUAUCUCUUUAGCACCUUAUCGCAUGGCACCGGCGGAGUUGAGGGAAUUGAAGGUUCAACUUCAGGAAUUGGUGGAUAAAGGUUACAUCCAACCCAGUAUGUCUCCCUGGGGUGCUCCUGUUUUAUUUGUUAAAAAGAAGGAUGGAUCGAUGAGACUUUGCAUCGACUAUCGGCAGUUAAACCGGGUGACGGUGAAGAAUCGAUAUCCUUUGCCUCGGAUCGACGAUCUGUUCGACCAGCUGAAGGGUGCUCAGAUAUUCUCUAAGAUAGAUCUUCGCUCAGGUUAUCACCAGUUGUUAAUUCGGGAGGGAGAUGUACCGAAGACUGCUUUCCGCACUAGGUAUGGACACUUUGAAUUUCGUGUCAUGCCUUUCGGACUGACGAAUGCACCUGCAGCAUUCAUGGAUUUGAUGAACAGAGUUUUCAGACCGUAUUUGGAUCGGUUUGUGAUUGUGUUCAUUGAUGAUAUUCUGAUCUUUUCCAAGAGUGUCAGCGAGCACAAGAAGCAUUUGAGGUUGGUGUUGGAAAGGUUGAGCAGUGAGCAGUUGUAUGCUAAGUUUAGCAAGUGUCAGUUCUGGCUAACCCAAAUUAGCUUUCUCGGUCAUGUAGUAUCUGCUGAGGGGAUUAGUGUGGAUCCUCAGAAGGUGUCAGCAAUAACUACGUGGGAGCAACCGAGGAAUGUUACUGAAGUGAGGAGUUUUCUAGGUCUGGCUGGCUAUUACCGAAGAUUUGUUAAAGGUUUCUCAGCCAUUGCCUUACCUCUGAAUAAGUUGACUCGAAAGGAAGUGGAGUUUAAGUGGGAUGAAGAUUGUGAGCGGAGUUUUCAGGAACUGAAGCGAUGUCUUACUCAAGCUCCCGUUCUUACUCUUCCAGACGAUAGCGGUGAGUUUGAUAUCUACACGGAUGCAUCAUUAUCAGGUUUGGGUUGUGUACUGAUGCAGCAUGAUAAAGUCAUUGAUUAUGCUUCCAGACAGCUCAAAAUUCACGAGAGAAACUAUCCCACUCAUGAUUUGGAACUUGGUGCAGUAGUGUUUGCUUUGAAGAUCUGGAGACAUUACUUGUACGGUGAGAAGUGUCGUAUCUUUACUGAUCAUAAGAGCCUCAAGUAUAUCUUUACUCAGAGGGAUUUGAAUUUGAGGCAGAGAAGAUGGAUGGAACUUAUCACUGAUUAUAACUGCACGAUCGAGUAUCAUCCCGGACAUGCCAAUGUAGUGGCAGAUGCACUUAGUCGGAAAUAUCAUGGAUAGCUUGCAUCUCUCCAAGCUAUUCAUGUUCCACUACUAUUUUCUCUUCGAGAAACAGGCUUGUCGGUGAGACCGGGUGAGCAAUGAGCGUGGUUGGCAAAUUUCCAAGUUAGACCUGUUUUGGUGGAUAUAGUCAUAGAAGCUCAGGAGCUUGAUCAGGAGAGUGCCAACAUUAAGGUCUCGGUGGAAAAAGGAGAAGAGAAGCAUUUUAUCAUCCGAAGUGAUGGAGCCUUGAUGUGGGAAAACAGAUUGUAUGUUCCUCAUGAUAACGAAGCAGUGAAAAGAGCAAUUCUGGAUGAAGCACAUUUGUCAGCUUAUGCCAUGCAUCCGGGAAGUACUAAACUGUAUCGCACUAUCCGUCUGUUCUAUUAUUGGUUGGGAAUGAAGCGGGAUGUGGCGGAUUAUGUGAGUAGAUGCAUCAUUUGUCAACAAGUAAAGGCAGAGAGGCAAAGACCUGGAGGAUUGAUGCAGAAUCUUCCGAUACCAGCAUGGAAAUGGGAAGACAUCACCAUGGAUUUUGUGUAUGGUCUGCCGAGGACGCGGUCGAGAUUGGACGGCAUAUGGGUAAUUGUUGAUCGACUGACUAAGACCGCUCAUUUCUUACCUGUUCGACAGACCUAUUCAAUGGAGAAAUUAUCGAAGUUGUUCAUCGAUAAUAUUGUUAGACUUCAUGGUGUACCUGUCUCUAUUGUUUCAGACAGAGAUCCCAGAUUUACUUCCAAAUUUUGGAAAGCUUUUAAUACUGCCAUGGGUACUCAGUUGCUGUUUAGUACUGCUUAUCAUCCACAGACUGACGGUCAGUCCGAGAGGACAAUACAAACAUUGGAGGACAUGUUGAGAGUGUCUGUUCUUCAGUGGAAGGGUAGUUGGGAUAACUAUCUGCCGUUGGUUGAAUUUGCAUACAACAACAGCUACCAUUCGAGUAUUGGUGUGGCACCUUAUGAAGCCUUGUAUGGGAGAGUGUGUCGAACGCCGUUGUGUUGGGCAGAGGUCGGCGAGCGAGUAUUGUUGGGACCGGAGAUUGUAGACACUACCAAUGAGAACAUCCAGCUGAUAAAGAGAAAUCUCAAGGCAGCUCAAGACCGACAGAAAAGCAUAGCGGACAAACAUUCCAAAGAUCGUGAGUACAAGAUUGGUGACUUUGUAUUCUUGAAGUUGUCUCCCUGGAAGGGUGUGGUUCGUUUUGGUAAACGAGGAAAGUUGAGUCCUCGAUAUGUUGGUCCUUAUCAGAUUACGGAGAGAAUUGGUGCAGUUGCCUAUAGAUUGGAGUUGCCACCGGAGUUGUCUCAGAUUCACAAUGUUUUCCAUAUUUCUAUGCUUCGGAAAUAUGUAUCAGAUCCCUCUCAUGUUAUUCAGCUAGAGCCGCUGGAAGUAAGUCCGGAUGUUAGUUAUGUUGAAGAACCAGUGGCUAUUCUUGACCAGCAGAAUAAAGUGUUGAGGAACAAGGUCAUUCCGUUGGUGAAAGUGUUGUGGAGGAACCACGCUACUGAAGAAGCGACGUGGGAAACGGAAGACCUGAUGAGGAGUCAGUAUCCGUAUUUAUUUGCUUGAAGUUGUAAUUUCGGGGACGAAAUUUUUAUAAGGGGGGUAGAUUGUAACACCCGCCCCCACUUAUAAAAUUAUAUGUGUGUAAUAUUCCCUAAAUAUUCUGAAUCUAUCAAUUUUACCCUUUUUGGACUACCCUAUCAGGAUCUAAACAUUGGAUCAUUCUUUCUUUUCAAACUGCCACGUGGCAGCUCCCUAGCAAUUUCCCUGUCUUCUCUCUUUGUCCCCCCCCCCGUGACUCCUUCUUUCUCUUCUUCUUUUUCUGUUUUCUUUUCUUUCUUCUGUCUGUCUCUCUGUCCCUCCCGACUCUAUCUCUUUCUCUCGUCUCUCUCUCAUAGCUCCCUCAUCUCUCUUCUCUGCAGCAACCCGCACGCACGCACCCGUCUCCCCCGCGCGAAGAAAACCCAUCUCCUUCUUCUCUCUCCCUCUGUCCCGUGCUGCGAGCCCGGAAACCGGAGAGGAACUCCGGCGAAACCUUUAUUUUCCCGGUUGGGACGAAUCGAAGCCGGGUGUAAGCACACCCAACUCCGGCGAUCCCGAGGGUGUCGGGGCUUUUUCCGGCCAUCUCCGAUCGUUCCACGACGAAAGGAAGGUGCAAUUAUUAACGGUGAUUCUGUUAUACCUUCUUGGUAUAGCUUUGCACCGUUGGUGUACGGUGAGUGGACCCCUUCAAAAUCAUGUUUAACAAUAGAAAUGCAUACAUGAAAAGCAUGAUUUAAUACUUAUGUUUUACGAAGUACUUUAUGAGAUAUAUGCUUACUGAGGCUAGAUUGAAUUAUUACUAUUUUUCCUAUAACCCAUGUUCUUAUAGAAUAUCCGAUGGAUGACGAUAUGAUAUUAGAACAUGUUUAGAACACCUCUUUGUAGUAUAGAUGAUGGAUGACUUUAUACUACGAAGUUGUUUUUCAAUAUGUUAUGCUCAAUGGUUUUGUACUUACCUAGUGGUCCUUUCCGCUACGGGACGUAGGGAUAGAUUCCGGUCCGUCCCGAGCGACGGUUUGGUGUUGGCAUAGGGCCUGGAGUGUGUUUCCUCUGGCUAUUUAGCACAGGGACGGGGAGCCGGCAUGGGGCCUGUAGUGUAUUUUCCUCUGACUGUCUGCUCAGAGACGGGGAGCUGGCAUGGGGCAUGUAGAGUAUCGGACAAUUCACUAAUGUUUAUUACUUAUACAAGUUAUGAAUUUGAGAUAUUGCACGGCAUGCUAGGUUUCGGAAAAUCUAUUUUGAUCAUGAUAUAUGUGUUUUCAUUAAACCUGGGGGUUAGUAUGUUGAUAACUGUUUUAUUAUAUUUAUAUCAAACUGGUCCACUCAUGUUUGUUUUGCGCCCCCUUCAGGACCUACGAACGAGGAUUACGAUAUAAGCUACGAGGCUUUUCCCUAUCAGUGAUCCAGUGCUAUACUUCUUCUGCUUCGAUAUCUUUUGUAAUAUAGCACAUCUCUAUUUUAAAUUCUGUUUGUACUCUGUAAUAGAUGUAUGCUCUGACAUUAUGCGUGGAUCCUAAUGUUGUAAUUAGAAGUUGAAUUUGUAGUAUUAUUGUGGCUAGUCUUGCUGCCUGUUUUAGCUUAUUUGUGAGUUUUUACUUAAAUUAAUGGCUUUCGUCACCCUUUGGGUGUCGGCCAGCACGUGAUCAUCCCGAUGUCACGAGGACAUCGGGAUCGGGGCGUGUCAAAUUAAAUAAAAGUUAUAAAAAAAAAACCGAAUCUGCAACCCAGAAGAAGAACCUUCUGGGUACGUGUUUGCAGUUGCGGGGCGAAUUCUAGAUCUUAAUUGGAUUAUUAGUUUCUGUUGUAAUAUGGUAGUUAGAAGAUUAAAAAAAACUAUGAUUUAUGCUUCAUAUGCUAACAAUUAACAGAUAAUUAAUGAAAUUUUUAAUUUUAAAUCUAAAUCCUAACAUAUUUUACAAUAGAAGCUUAAAUCUUAAUUUACUCAAUCACAUGGAUUAUUUUAUAACUACCUUACUAUUAAUUCAAUUAAACCUAUUAUUUCUACGAAAACUAACAAAAAUUUCAAAAAAAACUUUAGUUUUAAUGAAAAAAGAAAAAUGAAGAUUUGGUAAAUAAUACCAAAAAAAAAAUAAAAAUAUAAAUUUUCAUUAAAAAUGAACAGCAUCAAAAGUGUUUUAUUAAUACUCCAAUUAUUUAUUUACAAAUACGUGACUAAAUGAAAGGGAGCACUCAAAAUGAUGAAAAGCAGGAGCACCGAAGGCUAUCUCCGUUUCUUUGUUGAGUGGACAGCUGUCUCUUCGUCUUCUUUUGGCAGAUAGCUCCUAGUGGCCAGCCUAUAUUCCACAGCUGGUUAUAGGAUUCGGUUGCUAUAUAAGAAGUGUUUUGUUGUAAUUCAAUAUCGAUAGAAAUCCAAUAGGAUCUUUUUCAAAAUUUUGUGCGGAUUUUGGUAUGUUCGUAAAUCGUAUUUGUUCAUAUUAUACGCUCAUUUUUCAUGGAAUAUUAUUUUUGUUUAAUUUUAAAUAAAAUAAUUUAAAAUAAUUUUUUAUUGUAACAUGUACAAUGAACGGAUAUGAAUUGAUUCACAGAUCUUCAAAAUCCUUACAAAGAAAAUCCAAAAAUAAUCCGAAUUCAAUGGAGAUAAGUUAAUUUUGAAUCAAAUAACAUUAGGAAAAAAAAUUAACAUUAGACGGUUUUAAAUAAUUUAUUGUAUAUUUUUAGGGAAUUGUUAUUAGCACUUUAAAAAUCUCAUUUUACACUCCAAACUUUUUAUAUUAGAAAAGAAAAAUACACUUAUGAGGAAUGUAGAAUAAGAUUUUUGAAUUAACCAUGCAAAAAUGUAAUGUUAAAGCAUCAUGUCAUACAGACCUCUUCAAGGUACCAGAAAUUUUUGCACUAAAGAUGUCACAAGCAGCUGAUAUGAAGCUGCAUUUUCUGUGAGUUGAAAUUUUGUCAAUAUAAUCGAUCACCUGAAGAGAGAGAGAGAGAGAAAGACAGUGAUGUCCAGAGAUGUGAGCCUAAAUGCUGAGUGUGUAAAAAAAGAAGAUUAAAUGGAUAGCAAGAAUAUACAACUUUAAUGCUGAAAAGAACAUUGAAUAUGAUGCUCAUUCAUCAUUGCCAUUGAACGUGUACCUUCUUCUUUUCCUCUUUCUCAAAAGCAAGUAGAGCCUUGAAGACUUGCCUAUAUGAUCCAUCAUCACAACCAGGCAAAGUUGUUUUAAUCAUAGCAACAAUGGCUCUAACUAACUACCUGCCAUAAGAAACAUGCUACAUCAACAAGAUCACAGAGUGUACCAGAAACCGUAAUGUAGCAAAAUCUUAGAUAAAAUAGCUGGCCAAAAGGGAAUGGAAAAGCAAGCACAAAAAACAAUGAAAAGGACCAGUGAUGCCAAAAUUCUGGUGGAAAAGGUGAAAAGCUUAUGUCUAUUACAGUUCUUGUAUGCAUUCUUUAUAACUUAAGUUCUACGUAGCAAAAACCACCUUAUGCACAACAAUAUUGGAAAAAUUAGAUACAUACAACUGAGAAGAUAGGUUUUCAUAAUCUGGACAAGUGCUAACUACCUUCUUCCUAUAAACUGCCACUCCAUGAACAUUAAAUGGUAUUUUCCUUUCACGCAAGGCUGUCUGGAAGACUUUUCCUGAUACCUGUAGAAUAAAUUACAAAAGAAAAUGUGACCAAAAUGUCUUAUAUGAUUCACCUCAUUCACAUUAGCACUAAGGCAAGUAAGCUUGACCUGCCUCCGGUAAAGGAUUGCUAUAUUUCCAUAGGAGCACCCUGCUUCUGACCGUUUAGAUGCAGUCUCCAGGAUCUUGUCGACAACAAAGGCGCAUUGUGCAUCCUCAUUGUGACUUUCCUUGAUAAUUACCUACAUUUUGCCAGUAAAACCAGUGUCACUAACUAAAAGGACUGAAAAAUGACAUCAAAUUGUACUUGUUGGAGCAAGGAAAGAUUAAGUACCUUAGACCCAGAAGAAUUGUCCGUGUCAACAUUCUUUAGUUGGCAUCACUUCUUAUUGUUUUUUAUAACAGAAGAUGCAGCUUCCACACAAUAUAGCGUGUGGACCGAAAGUUCUUAUUAAGCCUAAUCUGAACCAUAAAGUUAUGUCAAAUCCCACAGAACCCCAUAAAAUAAAACUUACUUUCCUGUAAUUGUACAAUAUAUUUGUUCUAUACUAUAUAUAACGAAAAAAGACACCGUGAAUGACAUAAGAUAACAUAGCAGUCAAGUGCGAAGCGAACCUCUUUGUAAUUUGAAAAAUCUUUACGAAAAGAAUCAAAUCCAGAAAUGUCCGCCCCAUUGAAACUGAAAAUGGACUGCAGCAGGAUAUAUGUUAUUUGAUUUAGAACAGAUAAGGGCUGGAUUAGAAUGAGCUGAGAGAGGGAGAGAGGGAGAGACGGAGCAAUAACAUUGGAUUUCCAUAAUAAAUCAACAACAUGCCUGAUCAUCAUCACCAACAAUGGUUAUGUGGUUAUGAGAGGCGAGAAUCCGCAAAAGUCUAUAUUGCAUAGCACUUGUGUCUUGAAACUCGUCUAUUACAAUAGCUUUCCAUGACUCCUGGCACUCCUUCAACACUAAUUAAGAGAACACCAUGUAUCAACAUUUAGCAUUACUUGUAAAACUAGAUAAAUCAAUGAAAUAUACUUAGAUGAUAGAGACCUUCAGGAAAAUCACUUAGCAGCUUCACAGAGCAGCUAAUUAAGUCGUGGUAGUCCAAAGCGUUGCACGAUUUCAAGAUAUCAUUGUAAUUCCUAAGAAUUUCACCCUGAUUCAGAUUGAGAGCUAAAACUCAUAAGCAAUAGUUUCAAAGAACUGAAAUGAUAUCUGAAAUUCUAGUUCUGAGCGUACUCCUGUCACAUCACCCAUUCUUUGGCAUUCAGCGGGAGUUCUUUCCAGAAGCUUUUGCCUGAAACAUAAAUAAAUUUAUUGCCUAAUGCCACAUAUUGUAAGACACACCAUUGUAUUGGUCACUCUAGCUAAGCACAAUGAGCUUCAGUGGCAUACGGCGGUCACACAACACGCCGGAUGCACUCUUCCACUUCAUCCAUCCAGCUUGUAUUCUAUGGUUGAGAUCUCCAUCUAAUUCUCCGUUCUUUUGCAAAAUAGAUCCUAGGUAACGAAAACGGUCGCUCUUUGAUAUUUCUUGAUCUCCGAUCCUCACCCCUAAAUCGUUUUGGCCUCCAUUUGCACUGAACUUGCACUCCAUAUAUUCUGUCUUUGAUCGGCUUAGGCGAAAACCUUUAGAUUCCAACACUUCUCUCCAAAGGUUAAGCUUUGCAUUUACCCCUUCCUGAGUUUCAUCUAUCAACACUAUAUCGUCUGCGAAAAGCAUACACCAAGGAAUAUCACCUUGAAUAUGUCCUGUUAACUCAUCCAUUACCAACGCAAAAAAGGUAAGGACUUAAGGAUGAGCCUUGAUGUAAUCCUACAGUUAUGGGAAAGCUUUCGGUUUGUCCUUCAUGAGUUCUUACGGCAGUCUUUGCUCCUUCAUACAUAUCUUGUAUAGCUUGGAUAUAUGCUACUCGUACUCCUUUCUUCUCUAAAAUCCUCCAAAGAAUGUCUCUUGGGACCCUAUCAUACGCUUUUUCCAAAUCUAUAAAGACCAUGUGUAAAUCCUUUUUCCCAUCUCUAUAUCUUUCCAUCAAUCUUCGUAAGAGAUAGAUUGCCUCCAUGGUUGAGCGCCCUGGCAUGAACCCGAAUUGGUUGUCCGAAACCCGUCUCUUGCCUCAAUCUAUGCUCAAUGACUCUCUCCCAGAGCUUCAUUGUAUGACUCAUUAGCUUAAUACCACUAUAGUUCAUGCAAUUUUGUACAUCGCCCUUAUUCUUGUAGAUAGGCACCAAAGUGCUAAUUCGCCACUCAUUCGGCAUCUUCUUCGUUUUCAAAAUCCUAUUGAAAAGGUCAGUGAGCCAUGUUAUACCUGUCUCUCCCAAAACUUUCCACACUUCGAUUGGUAUAUUGUCUGGGCCUACUGCUUUUCUAUGUUUCAUCUUCUUCAAAGCUACAACCACUUAUUCCUUCCGGAUUCCACGAUAAAAAAAGUAGUUUCUACACUCUUCUGAGUUACUCAACUCCCCUAAAGAAGCACUCAUUUCAUGUCCUUCAUUGAAAAGAUUAUGAAAAUAACCUUUCCAUCUGUCUUUAACCGCGUUCUCUGUAGCAAGAACCUUUCCAUCCUCAUCCUUAAUGCACCUCACUUGGUUUAGGUCCCUUGUCUUCUUUUCCCUUACUCUAGCUAGUUUAUAGAUAUCCAACUCUCCUUCUUUGGUAUCUAGUCGCUUAUACAUAUCGUCAUAAGCCGCUAACUUAGCUUCUCUCACAGCUUUCUUCGCCUCUUGCUUCGCAUUUCUAUACCUUUCACCAUUUUCAUCGGUCCUAUCCUUGUAUAAGGUUUUACAACAUUCCUUCUUAGCCUUCACCUUUGCUUGUACCUCCUCAUUCCACCACCAAGAUUCCUUUUGGUGUGGGGCAAAGCCCUUGGACUCUCCUAAUACCUCUUUUGCUACUUUUCGGAUACAACUAGCCAUGGAAUCCCACAUUUGAUUAACUUCCCCCUCUCUAUCCCACACACACUGGGUGAUUACUUUCUCUUUGAAAAUGGCUUAUUUUUCUUCUUUUAGAUUCCACCAUCUAGUCCUUGGGCACUUCCAAGUCUUGUUCUUUUUUCUCACUCUUUUGAUAUGUACAUCCAUCACCAACAAGCGAUGUUGAUUAGCCACGCUCUCUCCUGGUAUAACUUUGCAAUCUUUACAAGUUAUACGAUCCCCUUUCCUCAUUAGAAGAAAAUAUAUUUGUGUUUUUGACGACCCACUCUUGUAGGUGAUCACAUGUUCUUCUCUCUUCUUAAAGAAGGUGUUGGCUAAGAAGAGAUCAUAUGCCAUUGCAAAAUCCAAGAUAGCUUCCCCAUCCUCGUUUCUCUCCCCAAAACCAUGGCCACCAUGAAAACCUCCAUAGUUGCCUGUCUCCCUGCCCACGUGUCCAUUUAAAUCUCCUCCUAUAAAUAACUUCUCCGUCUGAGCAAUUCCUUGCACCAAGUCUCCAAGGUCUUCCCAAAAUUUCUCCUUCGAACUCGUAUCCAACCCUACUUGAGGUGCGUACGCACUAAUCACAUUGAUAAGUUAUUGUCCUAUUACAAUCUUGAUUGCCAUGAUUCUAUCUCCUACCCUCUUGACAUCUACAACAUCUUGUGUCAAGGUCUUGUCCACGAUGAUGCCAACACCGUUUCUCGUUCUAUUUGUGCCCGAAUACCAUAGUUUAAACCCUGAGUUUCUAGAUAUAUAUAUAUAUAUAUAUAUAUAUCAAAUGGCCCCUAAAUGCUAUUAAAAAUCUCAAAAAUUAACAGGAAACUAAAACAAAUUAGAAUUUAUUCAUGGUUUCGCAAUUCCCAGCCGGGUAAACUGGUGGCCGUUGUAAGAGAGGGCCUCCAGCCGGAUAAACAUUUUCGAGUUAUAUGAUAUUUGUAUAGCAAAAAUACUUUAAUAGCAAGUGCGCGUGAGUGAAGAAAUUGAACUUACUUAUAUUCUUUCGAAUCCCAACCGGAAAAAUUGCAGGCUCUGGGAAGAGCGGACCUCCAGCUCUGCACCUCCUUCACGUCAACGUUAGAACGACCUUCAUGUUUAGCAAAAGCUUCUGCAAAACUUCCCUCGAGUUUACGAAUAUUGGACGGAUCGACUUGGUAGAAAAUGGGGAAUACAAUCUGGUUCUUGGAAUGGUUGCAUUCCAAGAUUUCCACGAGUUCUUUCAAGCACCAUGUGGAUGAAGCAUAGUUUUCAGAGAAAACUACAAUCGAAAUCCUUGACUCUCGAAUCGCUGUCAGGAGCUCGGAAAGGCGGUCGCCUUUUCUGAGGUCUUCGGCAUCAAUGAACGUGUUGAUUGGUUUCUGACGCAGAGCUUUGUAGAGAUGGCUGACGAAGCCCGUGCGAGUGUCUUCCCCUCUAAAAUUGAUGAACACAUCGUAUUCCCAACCAAGGCAAGAAGAAGAAGAAGAAGCAGCAAUUAAUCGAUCGCACCUGGGCAGCGAUGAUCGAGCAGCUUAAGACUAAGAGAAUUGUAAGUACAGAAACACUCAAUAGAUCUACAAAUUGGAUCACCAGAAAUUAGUCAAUGAGUCAAUGCAAAAGGGAAAAGGGCAAUUAUGCUUUUUGCGUUUUCACAUCUUCUUCAGGAAAUUUCGGUGUGAAAGGAAUCCGCAUACUUUUGAUUUUUCAACCCAAGAAAAUGCGAAGAAAGGGGACAAAGUAGUAAAUUUAAUCUACAGUUGCCUACCCAACAACCUCUUGAUUUAAUAUAUAUUUAAUUAGGAAAAGUAGUUUAGAGGAAGGAUGGUAUCUCCUUUUCUUCUCUCUCGAUCAGUCAAUCUUCCCGCGUGCGAUUUAAUCAUGAUUAAAGCUAAGCUUAAUCUUAGAUCGUAUUAUUUAGGUCUAAUUGGAUUCUUAAUUCUUGUUGUGAUAUAGUAGUUGGAAGAUUAAAAAAAAUUAUGAUUUAAAUGUUUGUGGUGAAGUCUGUUACGAUUUAGUUUCAAACUUGAAAAUUUCGUUAACUCCGUUAAUUAUUAGCACAUGAGACUCACAAAUGAAACUAAAAAUAUAAAGUUAGCCUCACAUGUAAUCUUCACGUGCUAACAAUUAAAAGAGAGUUCCGUUUUAGCUUAAUAUAUGUGACUCACGUGUUAAUAAUUAACGGAAUAUUAACAAAAAUUUUAAUUUUAAGCAUAAAUUCAAAUAAACUUCACCACAUAAGCUUAAAUUCUAAUUUAGAUAUCUUCUAACUAUCUUAUCACCAUAAAAAUUAUAAUCAAAUUAAACUUAUUAUUUAUUUAUAAAUGCGUAAUUAAAUCACAAAGUGUUGAAUGAAAGGGAGCACUCCAAAUGAUGAAAGAUGUGUGAUAUCCACACAUCUUUUUUUUUACUUUUUACACAUCGUUUUAAUUUUCGACUGUCGGAUCGAAUUAAUUGAAGAAAAUCAAAGGAUAAAAAUCAACAAAGGGUGUGCAAGAAGUAAAAAUGAGUGUGUGGAUAGUCAUCCCAUGAAAAGCGGGAGCAUCGAAAGCUAUCUCCGUUUCUUGUUGUCUAUUUGUCUUCUUUUGGCAGAUAGCUCCUAGGGACCGGCCUAUUUUCCACAGCUGGUUAUAGGACUCAGUUACUAUAGAAGGAGUGUUUUGUUGUAAUUCAAUAUCGAUGGAAAUCCAACAUAAUCUUUUUCAAAUUUUUGUGAGGAUUUUGGGGUGUACGUAAAUUGAUUAUGUUCAUCGUAUAUUAUGUGACCAUUUUUUAUCAAAUACUAUUUGUGUUUCAUUUUAAAUAAAAUAAUUUAAAAUAAUUUUUAACUGCAAGAUGUACAAUGAACGGAUAUAAUUCACAAAUCUCCAAAAUCCUUACAAAAAAAUCCGAAAAAGAUCCAAAUUCAAUGGAAAUAAGCUAAUUUUGAAUCAAAUUACAUUACUUUAUUUUGUAAAUAAAUUAAUUUUGAAUCGAACAACAUUCAUUUAUUAUGUAAGUAAUUCAUUUUGUAUGUAUCAUCAUAUAUAUUAGGCACAUUUUAUCAUAGGUGAUUUUGUGAAAAAUUAAUAAAAAGUUACAAUAUUAACAAUAGAUCAAUAAUAUUUAUGUUAAUUAUAAAUAGGUUAACCAUAUGUUGUGAUACUUAAAUACAUUUAAAAUAAAUAAAAAUUACAAAAUCUGACAUCCACUGCGACGUAGGAGCCACGGUGCAGCCCAAACUUUGCAGAUAAGAAAUCUGGUAAUUCACAGCAUGACAAACAAAUUACUGGGUCUCCUGACCAUCGUUGAUGCCAAUGUGUGCACAAGGAAAGGAGUAAGGUAAUCAAAUGCGUUAGUCUUGUGUACCUGUUUCGGUGUUGGUUUGGAUGAACCCAUUGAGUUCUCGAUCCUUAACUUCUGGAAAUGCUCCUGAAAGCAUAAAUAUAUGUACGGAUUUAAACCAAUGACAAAUGGACAUAAUUUACGGACAAUGAUUGAAGAAAAUACAGAUAUAAACGCCUCAGUAUUCCAUUGACGAAAGUUCUAGAUUUGAUGAAUCAAAAGUCCCACGUUGAGACUGCGUUAAGGCAAAUGGUUCUCAAAACCUGUUUUUCCCUCAUCAAAUGAGCGCGUUGAUCUGCAGGUAUUUUCUGCCAUCUCAAAACCUGUUACAAAGAAAUAUAACGUUGAUGUCGAGCUGGAUAGCAUAUUAUACCAAUUAUGUGUACAAACCUAUUGAAAUAAAGUAGCUGUAGUUGCAUAUUACGACAGAUAUUAACGAAAACAAAAGAAGGCUCGCCUAUUCAAGAUCCUAAAUCCCGUGAUUCUUUUGUUUUUAGUUUCAGAAAUUUUCAGAGCAAACUGGAAAGUACCAAGAUACUUACAUAUUGGGCAUAAUGAAAUGCAUCUUCAUCUUUCAAGCAAGAUUUGAGUGAGCGCAAACCGUCCUGAGAGUUACAUAAGUCAAUCAGUAAUAUAAAAACGUAGACGCAUCACAUCCAAACACAAGUAUUCAAACACCAACAACUUCUUCAUGCGGUGAGGCAUGUUAAAAAAUAGGGAAGAACAGUUAUUGAAUAGGAAGUUAAAGGACUAAAUUUAUGACCUUGUGUUUGUAGUUCUUGGCUCGUAUGCGUUCAUCUAUUACAAAACCAAUCUGUAACAGGUACAACAGAAAAUAUAAGCAGUAGUCAGAACAUUAAUCUUCGGCAUUCACAUUGCCACCAAUCCAAAGUUAAAAGUCUGAAGGCAAAACAGUAUGAUUCUUAUCUCUCAAACAAAAAUGAAACUAUACCCCGGUCUCAGACAUAAAUGAAAUAAGUUCUACUGCCUCAACUGAGUACUGUGAUUAUAUAUAAAUCCAAUUCACCUUGUCAAGUAAUCUCUUAGGAUCUUGAAAUGCUUCCUUCUUAGCCCAGUCAUUAAAUACAUGCGAGAAAAUUGAUCUCUCAUCCACACUGAAUCUAUUGCACAGUGACAGAAGAAUAAAGUUAAACAUGAACAUAACCAACCAAAAUGCUAGUUAUAAUAGUACACCCAUAAUUGCAAGCAAAACCUUUUUAAGAAGCCAUUUCCAUGGUUUUCCUCCCAAAUUCCAUCAAUUCUGCAGAGGCAACGUCAAAUUUACUAUGAUGGAGAUCAUUUUGCACUGUAAUAACUUCAGAAGGUAGGAGAUUUGGUUUCAGAUCAUCUGUUGACGGAGUAGUUUCUUUUGAAGUGUCAUGAUGCUUUUGAUUGCAAGCCUUCUGUACUUACGUCAGCCUACAAAACAAAAAUUGCAUUCAUCCACACUAGACUUAAUAAGAUUAGAAACACUUCAGAUUCUUCAUUAUUUGUAUUUUUGACUAAACAGCAGAACAACUGAGGAUAAUGAACAGUAAUACACACCUGGACUUCUCGUAGAUGAUUUGGAAUUUCUUUCAGAAAUCGCGAAGGUUGAAGCAUCUGAAGGAGUCACCUUCUCAGUCAGAGCAACAACAACAAAUAAGGAGGACAGGAAUUCAAGCUAAAACGAACCUGCCAACUGGAAUCCAUCGUAACAUAAAGAAUGAAAAGCUUUUUUCGAGCACGAGUCAUUGCAACAUAUAAUAGGCGUCUCUCCUCCUAUGAUUAGAGUGGGAUUAUUGAGUUAUUGACCAAAAGAAAAAAGAGUGGGAUUAUUGUGAAAAACAUGUCAAAGCUCUGCAUAUAACUGAAAAAUGUUGAACAAUUUACCACACACCUCAAUGGAGGUCCCAUUUUCUUUUGCAACCCCAUUGAAUUCAUGCAACAACGGGAUCUCAGAUUCAUUUACCUGUGUUAUUGGCAUGAGCAUUAAAGCAAGCUAAGAUGAUUUGAAGAGGUUGAUAUCGUCAUGAAUAUAGUAGAACAGAAUACCAAUUUCAAGCCAUCAAUUAGGUAUAGCAUUGGCAUGUUUAAUCCGUAAAUCUAAUGACAGAACACCUCAACUCUACACAUAAAUAAAUAAACAACCUGAAAAAUAUUACAGCCACAUGUUAAGGCAAAUACCUUAAUUAUGAAAACUAUAUCCCACUCUAAACCUUUUGACUGCAAGAGAAUGAAAAAGAAAGACAGUAAGCCAAGAAUGUUUUGUAGAACUCCAAAGGAAGUCCAAUAGGGAAAUCAUCGCAAGUAUAAGAGUUAGCGAGGUUCGCAUAAGAGGAUAUCAAAAAGAUCUAGAACCUGAUGAAUAGUAGUCAAAGUGACAGAACUUUGGUUGUCAUGUCUUCGGGAGUGAAAAUUUUCACUCUCCUGCUCAGAUAUGUAGUCGAUGAAAGCUUUGAGUAAAUUAACGCAGCCUUUUUCUUCUGCUACGACUUCUCUCUCCCCUUUUCCCGCAACAAAAUGAGUUGAUAAGAAAUCAGAUACGUCGUCUAGUAGGUACUGAAGAACCUGCAAUGAGAAUAAUCGCAUCACAGCAACAGGGUUGGACCAAGAUUUAAGUGACAACAAUGAUUAACUAACUAAAAUAGAGAAAUUAUUCAUUUAAGACCUUGUUGACGGAAAAAAGGGUUUUCCAAGCAGCGGGUCAUUUAAGCUUAUUGUAUAAAUGACAAUCAUCACAAACGGCAAACUUACAGAUCUCACGUCAUUGUCUUCAUUCAGCAGUUUUCCUCCAUCUACAUCAACGACUGCACGUUGCUCAAGACGGUACUUCUAAAAAUUGAAAGUCAACAACAACAACAACAACAACAACAAAGCCUUUUCCCACUAAGUGGGGUCGGCUAUAUGAAUCCUAGAACGCCAUUGCGCUCGGUUUUGUGUCAUGUCCUCCGUUAGAUCCAAGUACUCUAAGUCUUUUCUUAGAGUCUCUUCCAAAGUUGUCCUAGGUCUUCCUCUACCCCUUCGGCCCUGAACCUCUGUCCCGUAGUCACAUCUUCGAACCGGAGCGUUAGUCGGCCUUCUUUGCACAUGUUCAAAAUCACCGGAGCCGAUUUUCUCUCAUAUUUCCUACAAUUUCGGCUACUCCUACUUUACCUCGGAUAUCCUCAUUCCCAAUCUUAUCCUUUCUCGUGUGCCCACACAUCCCACGAAGCAUCCUCAUCUCCGCUACACCCAUUUUGUGUACGUGUUGAUGCUUCACCACCCAACAUUCUGUGCCAUACAACAUCGCUAGCCUUAUUGCCGUCCUAUAAAAUUUUCCCUUGAGCUUCAGUGGCCUACGACGGUCACACAACACGCCGGAUGCACUCUUUCCAUCCAGCUCGUAUUCUAUGGUUGAGAUCUCCAUCUAAUUCUCCGUUCUCUUGCAAGAUAGAUCCUAGGUAGCGAAAACGAUCGCUUUUUGUGAUCUUCGCUAGAUUUCUCCGGUCAUUAGUGUGGAUAAGUAUAUAAAUGGAUAGAGAUAGGAAAGCAAACACAAGAUGUACGUGGUUCACCCAGAUUGGCUACGUCCACGGAAUAGAAGAGUUCUCAUUAAUUGUGAAGGGUUUACACAAGUACAUAGGUUCAAGCUUUCAUUUAGUGAGUACAAGUGAAUGAUUUUAGUACAAAUGACAUUAGGAAAUAUUGUGGGAGAAUGAUCUCGUAAUCACGAAACUUCUAAGUAUCGGAGUGUGGUGUCGUCUUGACUUGCCUUAUCUGUCUCAUAGGUAGAUGUGGCAUCUUCUCUGGAAGUACUCUUCCUCAAACGAUAAAUUAUUAAGAAGCAUUGAAUAUAAGCAUGAAACGAAGAAAAUGUUAUGGAAUGGUGAUCCUCAUCCUCAAAGAUGAUUAAAAGCAAUUUGAUUCAAAAAUGACAUAUCAACUCUGGAGAAAUGGAAGACAAACCUGUGGUACCAUAUUCGCAACUGAGGUUAUGACAGCUGAAAUCGAUUGUUCCUGUGUGCAUUGAUAAGUGAGACUACCAUAGAGAUUCACAACUAAAUAAAGACAGGUAUUCCACAGAACAACCUUUACCUCUUUGGAAACACAGAUCUAACAAAAACUAUAACAUUUUGGAUUAAUAUUGACAAAUCAAGAAUAAUGCAAGGGAGCAAGAGAUACUCUUCCUUCUAAUAACAAGGAGGCGUGAAAAGUAUACAGAGUUCCAACAAUUAGAGAACUAAAAUCAAACUAAAAAAAUCACCAAAGUAGACAGAAUCUCACUUCGCCAAAAAUUUGAAAAUAUACCUUUUUAUCCAUUGAGAUUCAUGAACUACUACUACUACAUCAUGCCAAUAAGCAAUGCGUAAGAGGAGCUACAAUUUACCGAAUAUAUUUACCCUGAGAACAAGUUUUGAAAUCAUCUCUAGUGUUAACAGCACCUUGCGUCCUUGGGUAAGCUGAGUCCUAUUAUCAAGUAAAGAGACCAAUCAGUACAUAUCCAAAAGAUCUUAAAUGCUUGUAAUACCAAAUAAGAAAGAAACAUGAGUAUAUCUUGAAUUAACCAUGCAAAAAUGUAAUGUUAAAGCAUCUUGUCAUACAGACCUCUUCAAGGUACCAGAAAUUUUUGCACUAAAGAUGUCACAAGCAGCUGAUAUGAAGCUGCAUUUUCUGUGAGUUGAAAUUUUGUCAAUAUAAUCGAUCACCUGAAGAGAGAGAGAGAGAAAAAGACAGUGAUAUCCAGAGAUGUGAGCCUAAAUGCUGAGUGUGUAAAAAAAGAAGAUUAAAUGGAUAGCAAGAAUAUACAACUUUAAUGCUGAAAAGAACAUUGAAUAUGAUGCUCAUUCAUCAUUCCCAUUGAACGUGUACCUUCUUCUUUUCCUCUUUCUCAAAAGCAAGUAGAGCCUUGAAGACUUGCCUAUAUGAUCCAUCAUCACAACCAGGCAAAGUUGUUUUAAUCAUAGCAACAAUGGCUCUAACUACCUGCCAUAAGAAACAUGCUACAUCAACAAGAUCACAGAGUGUACCAGAAACCGUAAUGUAGCAAAAUCUUGGAUAAAAUAGCUGGCCAAAAGGGAAUGGAAAAGCAAGCAUGAAAAACAAUGAAAAGGACCAGUGAUGCCAAAAUUCUGGUGGAAAAGGUGAAAAGCUUCUGUCUAUUACAGUUCUUGUAUGCAUUCUUUAUAACUUAAGUUCUACGUAGCAAAAACCACCUUAUGCACAACAAUAUUGGAAAAAUUAGAUACAUACAACUGAGAAGAUAGGUUUUCAUAAUCUGGACAAGUGCUAACUACUUUCUUCCUAUAAACUGCCACUCCAUGAACAUUAAAUGGUAUUUUCCUUUCACGCAAGGCUGUCUGGAAGACUUUUCCUGAUACCUGUAGCAUAAAAUACAAAAGAAAAUGUGACCAAAAUGUCUUAUAUGAUUCACCUCAUUCACAUUAGCACUAAGGCAAGUAAGCUUGACCUGCCUCCGGUAAAGGAUUGCUAUAUUUCCAUAGGAGCACCCUGCUUCUGACCGUUUAGAUGCAGUCUCCAGGAUCUUGUCGACAACAAAGGCGCAUUGUGCAUCCUCAUUGUGACUUUCCUUGAUAAUUACCUACAUUUUGCCAGUAAAACCAGUGUCACUAACUAUAAGGACUGAAAAAUGACAUCAAAUUGUACUUGUUGGAGCAAGGAAAGAUUAAGUACCUUAGACCCAGAAGAAUUGUCCAUGUCAACAUUCUUUAGUUGGCAUUGCUUCUUAUUGUUUUUUAUAACAGAAGUUGCAGCUUCCACAAUAUAGCGUGUGGACCGAAAGUUUUUAUUAAGCCUAAUCUGAACCAUAAAGUUAUGUCAAAUCCCACAGAACCUCGUAAAAUAAAACUUACUUUCCUGUAAUUGUACAAUAUAUUUUUUCUGUACUAUAUAUAAUGAAAAAAGACACUGAAUGACAUAAGAUAACAUAGCAGUCAAGUGCGAAGCGAACCUCUUUGUAAUUUGAAAAAUCUUUACGAAAAGAAUCAAAUCCAGAAAUGUCCGCCCCAUUGAAACUGAAAAUGGACUGCAGCAGGAUAUAUGUUAUUUGAUUUAAAACAGAUAAGGGCUGGAUUAGAAUGAGCUGAGAGAGAGAGAGAGAGAGGGAGAGAGGGAGAGAGGGAGAGAGGGAGAGAGGGAGCAAUAACAUUGGAUUUCCAUAACAAAUCAACAACAUGCCUGAUCAUCAUCACCAACAAUGGUUAUGUGGUUAUGAGAGGCGAGAAUCCGCAAAAGACUAUAUUGCAUAGCACUUGUGUCUUGAAACUCGUCUAUUACAGUAGCUUUCCAUGACUCCUGGCACUCCUUCAACACUAAUUAAGAGAACACCAUGUAUCAACAUUUAGCAUUACUUGUAAAACUAGAUAAAUCAAUGAAAUAUACUUAGAUGAUAGAGACCUUCAGGAAAAUCACUUAGCAGCUUCACAGAGCAGCUAAUUAAGUCGUGGUAGUCCAAAGCAUUGCACGAUUUCAAGAUAUCAUUGUAAUUCCUAAGAAUUUCACCCUGAUUCAGAUUGAGAGCUAAAACUCAUAAGCAAUAGUUUCAAAGAACUGAAAUGAUAUCUGAAAUUCUAGUUCUGAGCGUACUCCUGUCACAUCACCCAUUCUUCGGCAUUCAGCCGGAGUCUUUCCAGAAGCCUUUGCCUGAAACAUAAAUAAAUUUAUUGCCUAAUGCCACAUAUUGUAAGACACACCAUUGUAUUGGUCAUUCUAGCUUGAUUGUAGCUAAUAUUUUUUAAAUCGAAUGAUUAGAGUUCUUAAUCCACAAUAAUCUGAACAUUAAAUUUGGUAUUCAAGACUAACCUGUGUCACCAACUACAGCCAUUUCCUUGAUGCAUCCUUAAAAUGAUGUGGAGAUGUUACGCCGUUAGACUCUUCCCCAUCUAUAGCAACAUUAAGAUUCGUUUACUCUUUUCAUCUUCUGAUAACCGCACAGCUUCAAUGAUUGCUCUUCUCUGUUGCCCAUGUCCAUAUAUCAAAAAUUCUGGUCUGCGCUCGAGUCUAAAACACAAGCCAACAUAACAGACUCAGCUAUACCACCAAAUGUAUGGUGUUCAAAAUCAAGGGAGGUGAAUCAAUAGCUUACUUCUCAGCAUGUGAUCGGCAAAGUUGCAAUGAAAAUGAAUGAAAUGUACUGAUUGUUAGUAGUUUUGCCGUUGCUUUCCCAGUCACAGAUCCAAUUCGAUCUCUCAUCUCGGAAGCUGCUGCUGUAGUGAAAGUCAUUGCUAGAAUGUUCGACGUGCUAAUGCCCUAAGAACACAAAAAAAAAAAAAAAAACGUAUAAGAUUUCGAUCAUAAACAAGAAAUGUAGAGAAACACACAAUUACGAAAGAAAAAGUUAGAGGGAAAGUAGCAACACCUCAUUGAGCAGCAUUAGAACGCGCCCAACUAUCGUUGAAGUCUUUCCACUUCCAGGGCCGGCAACAAUCAUCAAAGGUACUGAAAUAUCGCUGCAAGCUGCCUCGCGCUGCCUUUCGUUGAGAGAAAGCAAAUACUUCAAUACUCAUCCGGCAUGUUAGGCAAUCCAUGGUUAACAGAAUCUUUUUGGUUUUCACUACUCAAAGGUGGCGCUGAUGCGGCACUAACGUCACUACCACAACUCCCAAUAUCAUCACGCUGAAUGUCCACACUCGGUUUCUGCUCGAUUAAAGCGUCAAUUUCCUGCAAAAUACUCUCGUCGAAAUCAUCAUCGUUAAGAAUUCCAGAUGCAGAGAAAGAAUCAAAUGAAGUCAGAAACUGCGGUUGUCUGAUUGGAGUUGUGAAAGAAUCCGAUUUUGACACGCUUGAUUCGGUCCGGCUAACGCUUAAGCUCCCGGAACACGAAGCACUGCCAUAUUCACCACGCGUUGAAUUGUACCGGCUUGCGGAAAUCGGAGGCGGUGUUCUUUGAACUCUAUUGAGCUGAGUUGGCGUUUGGAUUCCAUUUCCGCCACAGAUUCUGGAAUUUGAAAAACACAAUUGAAUUGAUUUAAAUUGAAGCAAGAAAACAGCCGAGUAGCAAAAAAAUAGUAAGAAGAUGAAACCUUUGAUUCCUGAACGACUUACUUGGUAUGAGGGAGGUGAUGAUCAGGUGAAACGGCGUCGUUGCGGGGGCGUUUGCGAUCAAUGAGGGCCUUGGCGGCUCUGAAAUUCCGAGAGAUGCGGUUUCUUUGUUCCGCCGUGAGCCCUCCGCCGUACGCCUGAACGUUUUCCUUGGACAUUGCUUCGAAGAUUCCAACGGAGGAUUUGGCCUGACGGCCUGACCAGGCUGAUAACAGUGUAAAACCUUAGGAGCUAAGGAAAACUAAGAGAUAGAUCGUAGAGAGGGAAAGUUUUUUCUUUUUGGAAACUAGUAGGGAGGGAAAGUUUGUUAAACCUGAAUAAUAUUCUUUUCAUUCAACUUGUCUACAAUAAUUACCACUCUUGGUAUUUAUACAUUUCUAACACACCUCACUAACUAACUAAGACCACUACCAAUCAUACAAAAAUAAUUGUCCUUUGAUGAACUCUUUCACGAACAAAGUGGCAAUCAAUCUCUACAUGUUUGGCUUUAGAGUGCAAUACAGGUUUAGUGGCAAGAGCCAUUGCUUAAAUGUUAUCACAAUGCAAAACUGGAACAGAAGGAGAACCAACAUGCAAAUCUCGAAGAAGAUGUUGUAUCCAGAUAACCUUAGCAGUGGUUGUAGCCAUUGCUCUAUAUUCAGCUUCAGUGGAAGACCCACUCACUGUAUGCUGCUUUUUAGAACUCAAAGAGAUAGGAGUGACAAAACCCAUGGUUGAACGACGAUCAUUGUGAUCCCCUGCCCAAUCAGCAUAUGUAUGAGCUUUCAACUAAGAUGAACCUGAUUUAAAACACAAUCCCAGAGACAUAGUGCCUCUGAGAUAUCGCAGAAUACGUUUCACAGCAGCAAAUGAGUGGCUAAUGGUGAAUGCAUAAACUGACAUACUUGAUUGACGGAAAAAGAAAUAUCUGGUCUUGUAAAUGUUACGUAUUGUAGUGCCCCAACAAUACUUUUGUAAGUGGUAGGAUCAGAAACAGGUUCACUACCAUGAUUCAGAAGCUUUUGAUUAGGAUGACAAGGUGUGGAAAAAGGUUUACAGUCCAGCAUAUGCAUCUUUUGAAUGAGUUCUUUGACACACUUGGUCUGAUGAACAAAGAGUCCCUGUUCUUGAUAUUCAAUCUGUAAACCAAGAAAAUAAUGCAACACACCCAGAUCUUUCAUGUCAAACUCACUAGUUAACUGACUAAUAACAUUCUGAACCUUCACAGCAUCAUUACUAGUGGGAAUGAUAUUAUCAACAUGUAAUAAGAGAACAAUAAUUGAUGAACCAUCACACUUGACAAAUAAAGAAGGAUCUGCAUAUGAUGACUUGAACCCAAGCUUAGGCAAAUAACCUGAAAACCUGUCAUGUUAGGCUCUGGGAGCUUGCUUGAGUCCAUAUAAAGACCUCUCUAGUUUGCACACAUAAUCCGGAUAGGUAGAAUCCACAAACCCUUGGGGCUGAGACAUAAAAACUUCUUCCUCAAGAAAGCCAUGCAAAAAAGCGUUCUUGACAUCUAACUGUUUGAGUUUCCAAUUAUGAGAUGCAGCCAAGGAUAGAACCAAUCGAACUAUGUUUGGUUUGACCACAGGGCUAAAGGUUUCAUAAUAGUUAAUACCAACUUCUUAAGAAUACCCCUUAGCUACAAGUCUAGCCUUGUACCUAGCCACUAAACCAUCUGGAUUUCUCUUAAUCUUGUAGAUCCAUUUACAACUAACAAGAUUUUUGUCAGGUGGUAAGGGCACAAGCCUCCAAGUAUGAUGUUGAAUCAAAGCAUCCAUCUAUUCUUUCAUGGCAUUUUGCCAUUAAACACACUUGACAAUACUAGAAAAAGACUGAGGUUCCUUGAUUUCAGAAGCCUGAUCCACCUUAGCAGAAAACACCUUCUUUUUCAUAAUCCUAGACUUAGACCGGGUUUGCAUGGGAUGACAAUUUUGAGCAUUGAUACACACUGGUUGGAGAUCAUCCACUUGAGACAUUGUAGUAUUUGGAUGAUCUUUUGAAUACACAGUAGGCAAAACCUCUGAAGAAGGCACAAAACUUGUGGAAGAAGAGACAAGAUCACCAGAACUAGUGGGUUGAGAGGAUGAUGACUGAGUAACAUGUUGUGAUUUAGAGGUAAGAGAAGUGGGACCAAUAAAUGGAAAUGUGGAAGAAACACUAGGUGGAUGAAUGAAUGUGUUUGAAUGCACAACAGACAUUGGUGAGGAAGAAUGACCAGAAGUAACUUGAGGAUUGAAACCCAAAGCAUUAGAGUCUGUAGGAAACUUGGAUUCAUCAAAAAUAACAUGUCUAGAUACUAACAGUUUCUGAUCUUUGAGAGAUAAGCAAAUAUACCCUUUGUAUUGUGUAGCAUACCCCAGAAAAAUACACUUAGUAGUUUUAGGUUCAAGUUUAUUGCUUCUAUAGGGUUUCAAUGAAUGAUAGCAUAAACAACAAAAAAUUCUCAAAUGAUCAAGCUUAGGUGGAGAUUUAUAUAGCAUUUCAAAAGGAGACUACAUAUGUAGGGUAGGUGUGGGCAUUCUGUUUAUAAGAAAAGUAGCAGUGGCACACGAAUGGAACUAGAAUUUUGAAGGUUGAAACUUGUUGUAAAAAGGUAAUAGCUGUUUCGACAAUAUGUUGAUUUUUUCUCUCAGCCAACCCAUUAUGUUAUGGGGUAUAAGGACAAGAUUUUUGAUGAACAAUGCCUUUGGUAAGAAGAAAUUGCUUAAACUGAGUAUUAACAUAUUCCCCACCCCCAUCACUUUGCAAAAUUUUUACAUAAGCAUCAAAAUAAUUCGAGACAAAAGCAAGAAAGUUGACAAAACAGUGAGGGACCCCAAACAUCUAUGUGAAUUACUUCAAAUGGAGUAAGUGACUUCGAAGCAAUUACAGGAAAAAUGGAGCUUGGUAAAAUUUGCCUUGCAAACAAGCUUUACAAGUAUGAGAUUGAGAGUUACAAGGAAAAGAUAUACAAGACUUAUUAAGUGCUGCAGUGACAAUGGAAUGUGCAGGAUGGCCUAAUCGACAAUGCCACAAUGUAGAAUACAUCUUUUGACCCACAAAUGCAAUUGGAUUAAAAACAGGAGAAAUAGACCUAUGUGGUUUGAUUAUGGGAAGUGGAUAGACAACAUUAUUACUCAGCCCUUGGAAUAGCACUUUCCCGGUGACCUUGUCUUGUAGAUAGAGAGAAACAUCAUCAAUGAUACAAUGACACUGAUUAUCUUUGCACAACUGAUUCAUAGAUAAUAAGUGUUGUGACAGUUUUGGAACAUGUAACACAAAGUUUAACUUGAAAUUAUGUGACUUAGUGAGAAGAGAAGAGGAACCAAUAUGUUUGAUAGCUAAACCUUCACCACUAGCACUGGUCACAGUAUCAUUUGAUGGAUAAAUUUGUUGCCAUGUGCAAGUUUGACAAAUCUGAGGUCAUAUGGUUAGUUGCUCCCAAGUCAAGAAACCAUAAAUCUUGUUGAAGAGUUGAGGAUGAUGCACCAGCUCGUGCUUGUAUAGCAAGAGGAGGAUUUUGUGAGGAUAUAGUUGAGAGAUACAUAUGUGGUAUGACAUGAUACUGAAACUGGGAGCUAUUAGACCGUGGAAUCAUGCCUUGUGAAGGACCACAUGGAUUCUAGCUAGGUGCUUCGCCAUAUGACCCAGCAGGCAUUGGAGUUGGCAUAGAUGAGGAUAAACCCUGAGAGAAAUGCUUUGAUGUGCCUGUGAAAUUCUUAUUUCGAUCAAAGCAAGUAGCAGCAACAUGGCAAUUUCUGUGACAAAUUUGACAUCCAUGUUGAAAACAAUUCAAUGCAAAAUAAACUUUGCGAUCACAUAUUUGCAGAAAGGCCUUUGCAACCCUAGAAAGAAGAAGGAGCAAAGAAGACCAAAUGUGUACGUUUCUCUUUGGUUUUUUUUCCCUCUUAAUCACGCUGUUCGAAAUCACGGACCUCGGGCCUGGGCCUAGUGGGCCCAAUUAUGAGGCCCAUUAUCUCCGGUCUUCUCGUUCUACUUCUAGUUACCCAAAUUAAGAACGUACUGGUUCGCUUUUAGCGCGAGAGAGAAAUGGAGGCCCUGAUUGCCUCGUACGGAGACUCGUCGUCGGGCUCAGACUCCGAGUCGCCGGCUCCACCUCCAUCACCACCUCCGGAGCUCAACAACCCUCAAGAACCGACCCCUGCGCUGCCUCCACCUCCUCUGUCACUUCUCGACAACCCCAAUUCCUUCGGUAACCUCUGAUUCCCAUCAAUUUUCAUCUUUUAGCUUUCUGUUGUGAUGGCUUUUUCCGAGUUGCCCACCAAGUAUUUGAUGUUUUGCCUCUGAAGGAUUUCUGGACUUCUCGGCAAGCGCCCAGCCGAGCAGAGUUCGGAACUUUCCUCACGUCGAAGGGAACUACGCAGUACAUGUAUACAUCCCAGGUUAUCAAAAUUCUCGAAAUUUUCAGCUCCAUUAGCAAAUGCGAUCGCUUUGCACUUAGUUUUUGCUUGUUUAAUUCUGUGGUCAGUUUAUAUACCACCAGCACCAAGGAAAGAGAUGGCCUUGUUUUUGAACAAGCUAGCUUCUCUGGUGCCUGGUCUCCAUGCGGUUGACGUUGACUUCCUGCUUGACAUUCUGCGUAAGGACGAGCACAAGCUUGAACAAGUUGCUUUAGGCAGAGAGUUCCAUAUAAGUCUCGGAAGAACUGUUCCGAUUCGGGUGCACCAGAUUGAUUCCUUGGUGACAAUGCUGCGGCAGAAGCUUCAGAUUCAGAGGCGGUAUGGUUACAUUUACAUUCUCUUGUCUGCAUUGCGUGAAUUUAGUUCUGUUAUUUAACAUAAUUCUGUAAGCCUGCAAAUUUUUCGUCCAUUUUCAGUUUAACACAUUUUGUUAUUGUGAAACAAGUAUUGGAUUGAUUUUAGCAAGUGGUAGGUUUUUGUUAAUGAUGAUCAGACCCGGACCUUUGUGUCUAUCGAAAUCAUUGCUGCUGGGUUAGCUGAGGUAUGAUUGCUAGCUUUCUCUCUUGGUGCAAUUCUAAAUGUUUUCAGUUGUUAUAUGGGCUUAAGAUUUAGCAAGGACUUGCCGAAAGUCAUGGGAUUUUGAAAUAUCGAGAUCUUGCUUGCUUAUUAGCUUAGAUUUGGUCUUCGAUGCACUUGUAACAUGAAAAACACAAACGAAAACUAAUGCAUGAUAUGCUCAUGGUUUUAACAUGUGUUGUCCUGGCGUAAAUCAUGUUCCUAAUCAUGUCAUGUGAGUAUAAGCCUAUGAAACUUAGGGCAUGUUUGGCGGGCUGGACAAGAUUGGAAUUGGUAUUUCAGACUAGUUAGGUUAGGAUUGAACUGGAUAGGAUAGGUUUUUUGUCUAAAGAUUGGUGUAGACUGUCUUAACCAGACUAGGAACGAUGGGAUUUAAAACGUGAAACAGAUCGGCGACAUCCCAACGAUGACCCGCCCACCCAACAACUCUGCUCGUGACUUGCAACACCUCUCGUACCCUCCACGCCCCUUGCGGCCCGUCAGACCACUCUGAUAUCCUGGAGGAGUGAAACGUGGUUACUAGAAGCAUACCUGUUUUCGUAUUAAUGCACGGUUGAAUCAGCUUUCAUUGUCUACAAGUCUGAAAUAUUUUAACUUCCAUUGAUUUCAGAUAACAAAGCAGAUUCAAGCUGUGAAUGAGGUGUAUAAGCUUCACAAUCAUCCUAAAUUUUACAAGGUUAGCUUUUUCGUCCUUUUCAAACUCGAAUCGCUUCCUGAAUAUAUGACAAUAUAUUGGAUCAAAUGAUUUCUCAAAAAACUAAUUCACUUGAUGGGGUCUUGGUGAUCACAGGAUCCACGCCCUCACAUCUCGGUAGCUUGGGCAUUGGGUGACAUCAGCAAUUCCCUGAACAAAGUGGUUGAAGAAGAAAGACGAAGAUCUACCAUCGGAGGAUCGUUACAGAAAUGUAUUUUUACCAGUAAAUUCAAUGGUAUCGAAUGUAGGAUUGGUAAUAAGACACACAAAAUAUGUAAAUUUUCUGAAGAAUAAUGUAGCCAUUUAACUGUAUUGUGAAAUUCCGAGAAUAUAUCACUGAGCAUUGGAUGAGAAGACAUUUCUUCGUUGGUGUCGAACUUCUUGUCGAAGGUAUUGGCACCAGUGUAAACGUCAUCAUCCAUGUUGAUGGUAAUUACUUCCCAGCUACUAAGGGUGUCGGAACAGCCUUGCACGCAGCCUCCUGUGCAUUACUUGGUAUUGUCUCAGAUUCUCCAAACUUGAAUGCUAAUGUAAACCCACUCUUGACCUUUCCGUCAUCUGCGAUUACCGGAAUGCCGGCUUGGAUGUUGCCGUUGACCUACCGAACUUAAAAUACCGACGAAAUGUUGGAGUACUUAAGUGUACUACUCGUUUUUGUAUGCGAGAGCUCCACCUCUAUCGUUGUAACAGCAUCUGAUGCGGACUAGUCCUUCAUUCCCGUUACUCUUUGCCAUCUCCACUUCGAACUUGGCGUGAUGGCUCCCGGCCUCCUCUCCGGUGAAAUUGAGUAACCCCGGAGCUGGCGUGCCAUCAAGAUUUCCGUCGUGUCUCUAUUUGCUGUUGUGGUUUGGUUUCACCACUAUAAACUUGGCAGAGUUGGCAUUUUCAUUCUGUUGUCUGUAUAUCUUGAUAUUACAAGUAUUUGUUGUGCAAAAUGCAUGCUAAGUUCAACUUAUGUUUAUAUGUGUGUGUGUGUGUGUUGCCACUUUUCCAACGUUUUCUCCAAAAUUGUGACGAGCAACAAAGCAGUUUUGAUUCCGUGCACAACAACGAUACCUCGAAAGAAAUUGAUUCUUCCCCAGAAAGAUGUUUUAAAACAAAGUUGAACAAGGGAAGAAAACUUUUGAAUCGCAAUCAGAUGUCUGGUCAAAUUCUUUAACAGUUGAUGUAUACAGAAGUUCCUUGCUUAUGACACGACUUAUGAGAGGAUGUAUGUAUUGCAUUUGCAUCAAAAGAAAGAAAGAAGGUUGUAAGUGGUAAGGGAACGACUACCGAUGCCGCUCCACUUCUAAUCAAAGGGAUCGAUCCGAGGGUCGUGUUCACUUGCCAUCGCCAUUCCAGUGCAAAGGCAUGUCGGGCACAUUACCUGCCACAUUUACAGACGCAAUGUUAGAUAUAGCUGCCAUUUGGAAGUCAUCUCUCAAAAUUUUGCUACUAAAUCAAUCUUAAACUUCAUUUCCAGUGCAAUUUUUUUCUUCUGAAUUGUCUUUCACAUGCCCGACAAAUAGAAGUAUCACCAAACAUGUGAAUAUAGAGCAUCUAAGCGGCAGGCACUAAAAGGAAUUUAGUAUGCAAUAAACAUUCAACGGACAUAAUUAUAUGUCUAACCUUUCCCGCUCCUGAGCAAUUUGAACAUCGUUCAGUUUUUGGCAGAGAUAGGGGUUGGUUUCCGCCAUCAGCUGUCGAUACUGGUUCAGUAAGAACAAGGGUUCCAGUGCUGGAGCAACGAGCACAAGCAAGAGAUCCUGCGUAAGUAUCAAAUACACAGGUAAGUUGACAUACGAAACCAAUCCGAACAUCUCCAUCGUAUAUAUUUAAAGCUACAGUACAUAAACUAAAAGUCAGAAAUAUAGGACAUUAUCACACCAGUUCCAAGACAAUAUUUGCAUCGUUUAUGCUCCUGCUGUUUCACAUUGUUUAUUUCAACUACCAUCAAUGCUGAGAUCACUCCGACUGCUCCUCCAGAGAAUGACGCCACUAUGGGAUCAACUUGACUGCAGUUUGAAAGUAAAGGAGAUCAAUAAACGAAACUGGUAACAACAUAGUAUCAACAUUAUUUAGCUUCGUUUCAAGAAAGAUGACAUCCUAGGUUUUUCUAAUGUGUAAAAAUUGAGGAUCCUCGUAAAAUUUGACCAUAUCGGUUCCCAAAGCAUUUGAUUCCUACGUUACAGACGGAAAACAGCAACAAUCGAAUUUAAAGAUUCAUAACACGAUAGAUGGUACAAAAUUUCAAAACGAUAAUUACUAGAGAACAGGAGGGUUAAUAGCCUGAGAUAUGAGCAAUACCUCAACUGCAACGGCAGAUGCAUAUUUACUAUAAAGUCUUUAUAUGAUGUGCCUCCUAUUCCCAGCUUCAACUCCAACUGAAAGAUGUAAAGGUAAUUGUAGGCAAAGAGUUACAAACAUAACCGAAUCCAUGUUUUAUAAGCAACAACUACACUUAUUUUGAUAUGUUUCCUCAUUUUUUACUUGCAAAUUCCGAACCAUAUUGUCGGACCAGUAAAAGAAAAUAAUGUUUAUGAUAACUGUUAAAACUAAUUACAACAAGUUAAUGCAUAAAGAACUUACGGAGGGUGCUAUGAGGCCACCGAAAAGGAUAAACCCCACAAUAAUUGAAUAACAAACAGCAUAAUACUGCUUAAGGUUGUCUGAACUCUGCAAGCAAUGAAUUCACCUUGUGAUUAAUACUUUGCACAAACACUAGUUUUCGCAAUUUUUUAUGAAUCGACAAAAGGCUACAACAAAAUAUGGCUAAAACAUGUCGGGGAUAUGAAAAUACAUGUCUUCACAGGGGCACCAGCUUACCAGGGGAGGCAAAAAUGGAAUGAACGAUGGAAAACUAGGAAGUUCGUUUUCUUGAUCUUCAUUUACCGCUCCAAGCUCUGCACGUUUAAUCCGCUGUUGUAUCCUCAGCCUGCGAACCUACGCAUAUCGAAGCUCAUUCUUAAAGAACACAUUUCUAAUGGCAAUUGGAGAGUAAUUUAAAACAUGCUAAACUGAGAAAGUGGUAGCAACUAGUAAUUGCUCUCACCUCCUCCAUAUGCAAGAAAAUUUUGUUGCGACGACUCCGAAUAUUAUCUUGAAUUUCCUGCAGCUCCAUUGUGGCAAAAUCCUGCACUGUUUCAGGCCCCUCUAUGAUACAAAAUCUGCACCAUUAAGCAUGUAAAAAUUAAAAAUUACAGGCUACAAAGCAAUUUCCGUAUAGUUGUUGGGUUAAAUAACAUCAACAGCAAAUAAAUCACAUAGGUUUUUCACAUAAAGUUACAAACUUUCAAGGACUAAUAAGCUGUCUGCAAUCUCAUAAAUUUCACAGUGCAAAGUAACAAUCCAAAGCUUGGAACUUUAAAUUUCCACCUUCUGUUAAUUUUUUAGUGCACCUGGUGUCGUUAGAUUCGAGUAGUAUGUCACAUUAAAUUUUUUUUUUCUGUGCAUGCAUUUUUUUUUAAAAGAAAAUUUUAUAUUGUUAAAGAGCGAGUUCGAAACUAUUACAUUAUGGAAGGACAUAGUACCGAAACUCCGACGAUCAAAAACAAAAUCAUGUACAACCACUCCAAGCAGUCAACAUGGCCAUCACAUAUUGAAUCCAAAAUGUUGACGCCCCAUUCGCUGCAUAUAAUGUACAGACGAGCGGCAGCUUCAACCAGUUCUGCCAUAUCCG
rnacentral:lncRNA from 1 species